GUAGAUAACGUUUUCUCAAUCCAUCCCUUCACCUUACUCCACAACCUGUCCUUCAAAUAUUUAAAGGCUCCAAAUUUUGAAGUACCUAAGUAACGGCCCUAAAAUUGUGUAUAUUCUGAAAACAGGUUCUGAACUUGACUCUUCCCAAUCAAUCAUCUCAACUAAUCCGGUAAAUUCCUUAGGUGGAUAGGUUUUUAGAUAUGUUUACGUUUUUUGACAUCACAACUAAAGUAAUAUUAUUGCCCUUCUGAAAUAAGUGUUGGUUGAGUAAUGGCACUAAAAUUAUGUAUAAUCUAGAAAUAGGUUCUGUACAUGACUCCUCUUCCCAUUCAUUAUCCCAGCUUUUGUGCUCAUUCCUUAGCCAUGCAUGUUUCUAGAUUUGUUAUUUCUCUUUGACACCAAACUGUGAAUAGUAGAUAGUUAGUUAGUCAUGUCCAUUCUUUGUAAAUACUUAGUAUCUUAUGAGUUGCAACUGCUUGGAUGCCGCAAGUUAUAUUGCGGCUUCUGCUCACGCAUUGCUAUUAGGUGAAUUCGUCAACAAAGAACUUGAGAAUGCUGAGAUUUUGUGGCAGUCAGCUGAUGAUUUCCACCUCUCUUCUCUGUUCCUGUUUGCUCUGUUGCCAGUACGGGGAGGGGCCCUUAUACAUGUUCUUAUCAGCGCCGAUACCAUCCUUAGAUAUCUAAGGAGUGGAUACCCCAAUGUAGAGCAAUCUUUUGAAAUCUGUUUCAUUGUUACCAACUAAAGUUCUUAUCGUCCUUUCGUGAUAAACUUUAACAUCGCCCUUCUUACUCUUUUGCCACUUCCGAUAGACUCCAAUCUGAACACGAAGCACAGCACAUUCAAUCCAGUGUUUGCAUGGUGGCAAUACCAUCCCUAGAUAUCUAAGGAGUAUUCCAGUGAUUCAGUUUUAAGAAAUCUUGUUUCUUAUGAGUUGCAACUGCUUGGUGGUACUGCAACAUAACUUUGUGGCAGUUGGCUGAUGAUUUUCCCCUCGUUUCUCUAUUCUUGUUUGUUCUGUGUGUCAGCGCUGAUAGCUGAUUCUCUCUGUUGCCUGUACGGGAGGAACCCCUAUAUUCUUUCACCAACUUGCCAUGAUAGUCUUUAAUCAGAACAUGCAAUUCACGUUUUCCAGUGUUUUGCAUGGUGGCAGUACCAUCCUUGGAUAUCCAAGGAGUCUAGUAAUACUUCAAUUUUAAGAAAUCUGUCUGAGUGCAAAAUUCUUCUUGUCCCUUUUCAAAUUAUCUAUAAUCGUUCUGUACCUGACUCCCUUCCCAUUCAUCAUCUCGACUAAUGCUGUCAUUCAUUAGCCAUGCACAUUCUUAGGUGACUACGUUUCUGUGAAUGGUAAGUAGGUAGGUAGAUAGUCAUGGCAGCUCUUUGUAAAUAAUUAAUUUCUGCUUAUGAGUUGGCAACUGCUCGCAAGAUGACUUUGCGGCUACUGUUAAUGCAAUUUUUGUUGGUGAGUUGUGCCCCUUGUAAAUAGAGAACAUGGGUGCUGAAAAUUUGUGGCAAUCGGCUGGUGAUUCACCAACUUGUUUUUUUUGGGGUCUGUUCUGCGUGUUGUGGUAAGGUGUGUGGCCUUCUCUUUUCACUGAAUGUGGAAUUUGACAGUUUUCCGCUGUGCAAUGUGAAAUUGUUUCAUUGUACUCGUAACUUUGCGAGAAAUGGCUACUAGCGUUGGCUGAUGUCUACAUACAGCUGGGCAAAAGCUCAAUUGGCUCGGUAAUUUGAUGGAUAAUGGUAAUGUUAUUGUUGCAGCUGAUCUUGAAAACGUGUUGUCGCAACAAAGCUAGACUGCAGUGUUAUGCCGCGUAGCACAAGGUGCUUCUGAUGCCAUUUUUUGUUCGAACUCUGUUAUGUAUAUGGCCGCAUGCAUAAUCACUAUUUGUUUUGGGAUCGAAGAGAGCUCGUCAUUGGGUCACUCGAUCGUAUAUGCAUCACGGGAAAACAAAUGGAAAAAGAUUUUCAUAAACUUGUGAAUUUGUGAUGUUGAAAAUGGAAGGGCACAUUUUAUUACUAGUAGCUUAGCAUCCAGUGUGCGUUGGUGAGCCUAAAAUCUCGAAGCACACCUGCCUCAAGAAUUACAUCCAGAACGCUUGAGCAGUAAAAUUUGAAUUAUAGUUGUAUUUGGAGAAGUUGUAAGAGCGAGCUGGGCGUCGAGACGUGACCACCGGCGCGCCGUCCUGGCCGCGCCCGACCCGUAAAGUGGUCAGCCGGAGCUUGCUGUCGAACUGGAGGUCAUUUAUCUGUUCCACGAGUCAGUACUCGGACGGCGCCAUGGGCACGAGCUUGGCGCCCGCCAUGGUGCGCUCGUCCAACAGCUUCUCCCUGCCAACCUUCCAUGUCGCCCGCGCACAGGUGACCCUUGGCGGCGUGGAGUCCGAGCCACGCCCCCAGCUCGCCGUCGUAGUGGGCGUGGCCGGUGACCGGCAGCUGCCACGUGCCACGCCGUGUCCACUUGGCGGUCGCCGUGCUGAAAGAGUAGGUAGCGCACCUAGUGCGCACGGUGCUCACGCACACGAAGAGGUCGUGCUUCGCCGCCGGCUGCCCCGGCGGCGUGUGCACCGCGUGCGCCGUGACGUACCUGGCGCUGAACGGGAGCCUGACAAAGCUCUCCCAGCAGGACCACUCCGUCCUGAGAUGGACGUGCUGCGCCGCCUGCCCGUGCGACAUGGGAUCAAGGAGUUGGACACCACUCUUCCGGGUCCGGGUGACUGUCAAUUCGGUGACGUUCCCACCCCCAGUUCCACUCGUGGUAGCCGCCGCAAUGUUCUUUGCUCAGGCAGCGCAGCGUGUCCCCGAACAUGUACAGCCUGCCCCCCACGGCCAUGGCUGCUUCGAAUCCGCGGAGGCAUUGUAACCAAGGCGAACUCGUGACGACCUGCGCCGCCGACUUGGUGUCGUAUAUGAGUACACCGCCGGAAUAGCCCAUGGACUCGGGGCUUAUGGCCACAAUGCUGCUGCCCACGGCGGCGAACUGCGUUGAAUCUCUGACCGACGGAAGCGCCACGCGGAGGACCGGCGGCUCCGGGAGGCUCCGCGCCCUGCCAGCGCCGUCCAGAUGAUCGUCGUCCAUGUCCAGUUUGUGGAUGCCGUAGCCGCUCCGGCAGUCAUCCAGCACCACGUAGAGAUGCCGCUUCGUGGUCGUGGCCACCUCCGCACCCGGAUCGCCACUGGAGUCGUCGGAGGCGUAUCCUCGUGAGCCGUUGCGGCCGAGGGCGGCGGCCAUCUGGUUCGCAAUCGCAUGGCGGCGGGCUGGCCGGAGAGGGCGAGGUCGCGAGAGCAACGAUCGCCACGCCCACAUCCUACUUGGUAGGGCUACAGUUUGGGAAGAAGUAGAUGGCGGCCGGAUGGAUUGAUAUGGAGCCCUCGGAAGUCUCUGCACCUGGAUAUAUAACAAGAAUUGUGAAUCACUGCAUGUAUGUAUUCCCUGGUUCAGAUAUAUAUAUAUAUAUAUAUAUAUAUAUACAGGCGUGAUCCUUAUAUGCAGGGCCACGAUGAGAUGAUGGCGAUUGACUAGGACGCCCUACACUCUAGGUGCUACUAUUACAACAGAAUGGCGUUACAGGAUCAGAAGGUACACAUACAACGUGACAGUUCAACAAUGAGAAAAGUAUACUUUUCGUCUCUCAAUUUUUGAGAGAGUUUAGAUUUAGCCCCUCAACUACGAAACCAGACAACUUGCACCUCAAACUUUUAAUACCGGACAAAUUUCAUCCCUGGAGACAAUUGAAGCGGUUUCCAAGCUGACUUGGCAUGUUUUGACCGGUCAUAGUCCAGGUGGCAGUAUUUCUCUAUCCUACUCAUCCUAUCUCUUCUUCCCUCCUAUUAUCUCUCAAAUGGGCAUUUCAUCGAACACUUAAAGUGCACCGGCUGCACAAGCGCUCCAGAGGCAUGCUAGGAUGCCGACGGCGAUGACCAUGCGCUCCACCUCGCCGUCGUUGUAAAGCACACCAAAAGAUGCAAUGCCGGAGGCCCUAAAUCACGGACUCCCAAAUCGUCUUCCUCAACUCCGGUGACCGCCGCCGCGCCGCAUUCUCCUCCUCUAGCAAGCUCUGGUUAGCCCUGCCGGCUUCCUAAGCUCCCCGUGGUACAACCGAAGCCUCACACGUCCUCCCCAAGAAGCCCCUCGUCCACGACCUCACCCCGCCGUGAGCGCGUGCUCCACUGCCCGCUGCCGUCGACGCAGCCGUCGCUCCGGUCCUUGCCGGGUCUAAGCACGCGUACGUGCUAUAGGUGAGCCCCUGGUCGUUUCUCCCCUCUCCCCAUGCCAGGGAUCUAGCUCGCUGCCCGCAUAGCGCCGCCUGUCGCCUCCGCAGAUCGCUGGACGUCGUCGCCGGCGAAGCUUCGGCCAUCCGGCCGUGCUCGCAUAGGCCGCCCGUCGCCUCCGCUGGUCGCUGGACGUCGUCGCCGGCGAAGCUUCGGCCAUCCCGCGUGCCCGUGCUUGCUUGUCCGGCCGCGCGGACACCCCAGCUCGCUACCACGCAUCACGUAGCCUCUCCCCGCUAGCACCCGCAUCGCCCAGAGCGUCGCCGCCGGUGCAAGCUAAUUUUUUUUUUCCAGAAGUGAGGAGCGAUUUACCUUCUCCUUUGCCAUAUUGGUGUGGACUGGUCAAAGCCAGUUAAAAACGGCGCCAAAUCAGCAGCGAAACCAGGUCGGCUUAUAAAGGGACGAAAUUUGUCCGGUAUGAAGAGUUCGAGGUGCAAAUUGUAUGUUUUUGAAGUUGAGGGACUCUGUCAAAAGUUAAAGGAUGAAAAAUAUACUUUUCUCUUCAACAAUAUAUAUACUGCAGGUUGGCUCCGAUCGAUCUGCAUUCCACAUUAAAUCUCACGCGUGAUUUGUUGCAUGCAGAAGAAAACCAAAGGGCAAAUAUCACACGCGCAUGCAUGCAUGCAGCUUUCGUUGGGCUUCUCAACCACAUUCAUGAUUUUGUGCUGCUGGUCAGCUAUACAUAGGGCUAGGCUCUUCGUCUUUCCAAACCAAAUGUAACCACUUUAUAUCUGUAGUCUGAUUUGAGGCCAUCACCAGACCACUCCAUGGCCGUUGAUUCUAUUAUAAUCUCACGGCCAUAGAUGCACCUUAUCCCUUGCUUAACGUGCGAAAAAAGGGCCCCGUCGCCUGGGGAGUUUCCGCAAUUUACUCCUCAAAUCACUCGCAUGCAUCCCGUUUCCCAUUCCCCUCACCUCGAAGGCAACGACCUCGCCACGAACGGCACUACCCCGGCCUCCCCAACCUCCACGCUCACUCCUUUUCUCCCUCUCAACUCAUCAUCGGGCAUCACAUGUAAGACUAGUCAUAGUGAGAAGUAUCUUAGAGUACUAACAUGUAUAUGUUACUAGUCUAUGUUAGUACCUUUACAGUGGGUAAUAACAUAUGUGUUGUGUCAUGCAUCACUUCAUUUAUUACGUUGUAGACUCAUCUUUUUCUUGAUAUGUGUGAUGUUGCAGUAACUAGCUAUGUUACCACAUGCCUCUCUUUCUUCAUUGAUUACAUGCCACAUCAUCUAUUUUGCCUAGAUAAUUGUGAUGUUACCAUCUAUGUUACUCCCACUGUGGGUAGUCUAACUAUCUUGCCAAGAUUUGUCUCCUCCAUCCCCACCUUGAGCGACGUACUUAGAGCAAGUACAAUAGAGCCGAGUCAGCUGGCUAUAAGAAAUAAACUAGUAUAUUCUUAUUUAGUUGGAGGAAAGAAAAAGAGGAGAGAGAAGGUAAGCGGACUCUUGGUGAAGAGUCAGCUCUAGCACGUGCUCCUAGACACUUUGUGAGAGUGAAAUGUGGGUCAUAUAAUAAAAAUAAUAAUACACUCUUCUAAUCAAUAAUUGUACAUAUUGGUUAUAAGAUGGGCUAUAGAUGACAUGUCAAUAGCUUAUAGCCAGCAGUUGGCUAUACUAUUAACCAUGCUCUUAGGCAUCUAUCCAGGCCUGCGUCAAGGAUGCAACAGGUGACGGUGAGUCUCACCAGCGGCGAAUCUGUCUUGAUCUUGUUGGGAAACGUAGUAUUUCAAAAAUUUGCCUAUGAUCACGCAAGAUCUAUCUAGGAGAAGCAUAGCAACGAGCGGGGAGAGUGUGUCCACGUACGCUCGUAGACCGAAAGCGGAAGCGUUUAGUAAUGCGGUUGAUGUAGUCGAACGUCUUCGCGAUCCAACCGAUCAAGUACCGAACGCACGACACCUCCGCGAUCUGCACACGUUCAGCUCGGUGACGUCUCUCGAACUCUUGAUCCAGUUGAGGCCGAGGAAGAGUUUCGUCAGCACGACGGCGUGGUUGUGGUAAUGAUGAAGUUACCGGGGCAGGGCUUCGCCUAAGCACUACGACGAUAUGACCGAGGUGUUGAACUGUGGAGGGGGCACCGCACACGGCUAAGAGAUUGUCUGUUGUGCCUUUGGGCUGCCCCCUGCCCCCGUAUAUAAAGGAGGGGAGGAGGAGGCCGACCAACAAGGGGCGCGCCAGGGAGAGGGGAGUCCACCCUUUUUUUCCUUCUACCGGAGGGGGAAAAAGGGGAAGGAGAGGGAGUAGGAGAAGGAAAGGGGGGUGGCGCCCCCUUCCCAAGUCCAAUUCUGCCUCCUCCCUUGUGGGGGGCGCACCAGCCCCUUGUGGGCUGGUUAGCCUCUCUCCUAUGGCCCAUAAGGCCCAUAUCUUUCCCCGGGGGUUCCGAUAACCUCCCGGUACUCCGGAAAAAUGCCCGAAUCACUCGGAACCAUUCCGAUGUCCGAAUGCAACCUUUCAAUAUAUGAAUCUUUACCUCUCGACCAUUUCGAGACUCCUCGUCAUGUCUGUGAUCUUAUCCGAGACUCCGAACAAACUUUGGUACAUCAAAUCACAUAACUCAUAAUACAAAUCGUCGUCGAACGUUAAGCGUGCAGACCCUACGGGUUCGAGAACUAUGUAGACAUGACCGAGACACAUCUCCGGUCAAUAACCAAUAGUGGAACCUGGAUGCUCAUAUUAGCUCCUACAUAUUCUACGAAGAUCUUUAUCGGUCAAACCGCAUAACAACAUACGUUGUUCCCUUUGUCAUCGGUAUGUUACUUGCCUGAGAUUCGAUCGUCGGUAUCAUCAUACCUAGUUCAAUCUCGUUACCGGCAAGUCUCUUUACUCGUUCCGUAAUGCAUCAUCCCGCAACUAACUCAUUAGUCACAUUGCUUGCAAGGCUCAUAGUGAUGUGCAUUACCGAGAGGGCCCAGGGAUACCUCUCCGAUACAUGGAGUGACAAAUUCUAAUCUCGAUCUAUGCCAACUCAACAAACACCAUCGGAGACACCUGUAGAGCAUCUUUAUAAUCACCCAGUUACGUUGUGACAUUUGAUAGCACACAAGGUGUUCCUCCGGUAUUCGGGAGUUGCAUAAUCUCAUAGUCAGAGGAACAUGUAUAAGUCAUGAUGAAAUGAAUAGCAAUAAAACUAAACGAUCAUUUAUGCUAAGCUAACGGAUGGGUCUUGUCCAUCACAUCAUUCUAUAAUGAUGUGACCCCGUUCAUCAAAUGACAACACAUGUCUAUGGUCAGGAAACUUAACCAUCUUUGAUUAACGAGCUAGUCAAGUAGAGGCAUACUAGGGGCACUCUGUUUUGUCUAUGUAUUCACACAUGUACUAAGUUUCCGGUUAAUACAAUUCUAGCAUGAAUAAUAAACAUUUAUCAUGAUAUAAGGAAAUAUAAAUAACAACUUUAUUAUUGCCUCUGGGGCAUAUUUCCUCCAGUCUCCCACUUGCACUAGAGUCAAUAAUCUAGUUCACAUCGCCAUGUGAUUUAACACCAAUAGUUCACAUCUUUAUGUGAUUAACACCCAUAGUUCACAUCGCCAUGUGACCAACACUCAAAAAGUUUACUAGAGUCAAUAAUCUAAUUCACAUCGCUAUGUGAUUAACACCCAAGAGUAAUAAGGUAUGAUCAUGUUUUGCCUGUGAGAGAAAUUUUAGCCUACGGGUCUGCAAUAUUCAGAUCCGUAUGUAUUUUGUAAAUUUCUAUGUCUACAAUACUCUGCACGGAGCUACUCUAGCUAAUUGCUCCCAUUUUCAAUAUGUAUCUAGAUCAAGACUUAGAGUCAUCCAGAUCGGUGUCAAAACUUGCAUCGACGUAACUCUUUACGAUGAACUCUUUUAUCACCUCCAUAACCAAGAAAUAUUUCCUUAGUCCUCUAAGGAUAAUUUUGACCGUUGUCCAGUGAUCUACUCCUAGAUCACUAUUGUUGUCCCUUGCCAAAACCAUGCUAAGGUAUACAAUAGGUCUGGUACACAGCAUAGCAUACUUUAUAGAACCUAUGACUGAGGCAUAGGGAAUGACUUUUCAUUCUCUUUCUAUUUUCUGCCGUGGUCGGGUUUUAAGUCUUUACUCAACUUCACACCUUGCAACACAGGCAAGAACUCCUUCUUUGACUGUUCCAUUUUGAACUACUUCAAAACUUGUCAAGGUAUGUACUCAUUGAAAAAACUUAUCAAGCCUCUUGAUCUAUAUCAAUAGAUCUUGAUGCUCAAUAUGUAAGCAGCUUUACACUACUGGAAUAAGCUAAUUUGCCAUCUGCCAGCUCUUUGCCGUCUGCUAGCUGACGGCAAAGAAGCUCUUUGCCAUCAGCUACCCAAAAGCAGACGGCAAAGAAAUGGCAGACGGCAAAGAAGCUCUUUGCCAUCUGCGAGCUCUUUGCCGUCUGCCAGCAGACGGCAAAGAAUCUUUGCCGUCCGCUGGCAGACGGCAAAGAGAGAGGUGGCCCCCACCCCCCGCCCGUUUGGAAAAAACUUAACGCCCCACCUCUUUGCCGUCUGCCAGCAGACGGCAAAGAGGCAAAAGGGCGGACGGCAAAGAGUGGCGGACGGCAAAGAGGAGACUACCNNNNNNNNNNNNNNNNNNNNNNNNNNNNNNNNNNNNNNNNNNNNNNNNNNNNNNNNNNNNNNNNNNNNNNNNNNNNNNNNNNNNNNNNNNNNNNNNNNNNNNNNNNNNNNNNNNNNNNNNNNNNNNNNNNNNNNNNNNNNNNNNNNNNNNNNNNNNNNNNNNNNNNNNNNNNNNNNNNNNNNNNNNNNNNNNNNNNNNNNNNNNNNNNNNNNNNNNNNNNNNNNNNNNNNNNNNNNNNNNNNNNNNNNNNNNNNNNNNNNNNNNNNNNNNNNNNNNNNNNNNNNNNNNNNNNNNNNNNNNNNNNNNNNNNNNNNNNNNNNNNNNNNNNNNNNNNNNNNNNNNNNNNNNNNNNNNNNNNNNNNNNNNNNNNNNNNNNNNNNNNNNNNNNNNNNNNNNNNNNNNNNNNNNNNNNNNNNNNNNNNNNNNNNNNNNNNNNNNNNNNNNNNNNNNNNNNNNNNNNNNNNNNNNNNNNNNNNNNNNNNNNNNNNNNNNNNNNNNNNNNNNNNNNNNNNNNNNNNNNNNNNNNNNNNNNNNNNNNNNNNNNNNNNNNNNNNNNNNNNNNNNNNNNNNNNNNNNNNNNNNNNNNNNNNNNNNNNNNNNNNNNNNNNNNNNNNNNNNNNNCGGCCACCUCCUCCACCAGCCCAGGUGAGCUCUACCUCCUCUAUUUUUCCUUUUUUUCUGUUUUUUUGGUUUUAGGUUUAUGUUUAGUUUAGAUUUAGUUUUAGUUUUAGUUUUAGGUUUAGUUUUAGGUUUAGGUUUAGUUUUAGUUUAGUUUUAGGUUUAGAUUUAGUUUUUUCCUUUUUUUAGUUUUAGGUUUAUGUUUAGUUUAGAUUUAGUUUUAGUUUUAGUUUUAGUUUUAGAUUUAGGUUUGGAUUUAGGUUUAGUUUUAGGUUUAGUUCAGUUUUAGGAAAGAAAAAGAAGAAGAAGAAAAAAAUAGGAGAGGAGGAGAAGAAGAAGAGGAAAAAGGAAAGGAAGAAGAAGAAGAGGAGGAGGAGAAGAAAAAAGAAGAAGAGGAAGAAGAAGAAAAAAAAGAGGAGAGGAGGAGAAGAAGAAGAGGAGGAGGAGAAGAAAAAAGAAGAAGAAGAAAAAAGAGGAGAGGAGGAGAAGAAGAAGAGGAAAAAGGAAAGGAGGAAGAAGAAGAAGAAGAAGAAGAAGAAGGAAAAACGGAAGAAAAAGAAGAAGAGGAAGAAGAAGAAAAGGAAAANNNNNNNNNNNNNNNNNNNNNNNNNNNNNNNNNNNNNNNNNNNNNNNNNNNNNNNNNNNNNNNNNNNNNNNNNNNNNNNNNNNNNNNNNNNNNNNNNNNNNNNNNNNNNNNNNNNNNNNNNNNNNNNNNNNNNNNNNNNNNNNNNNNNNNNNNNNNNNNNNNNNNNNNNNNNNNNNNNNNNNNNNNNNNNNNNNNNNNNNNNNNNNNNNNNNNNNNNNNNNNNNNNNNNNNNNNNNNNNNNNNNNNNNNNNNNNNNNNNNNNNNNNNNNNNNNNNNNNNNNNNNNNNNNNNCCCGACCCCGACUGCAAGAACUCCUUCUUUGACUGUUCCAUUUUGAACUACUUCAAAACUUGUCAAGGUAUGUACUCAUUGAAAAAACUUAUCAAGCCUCUUGAUCUAUAUCUAUAGAUCUUGAUGCUCAAUAUGUAAGCAGCUUUACCGAGGUCUUUCUUUGAAAAACUCCUUUCAAAACCUACUUUAUGCUUUCCACAAAAUUCUACAUCAUUUCUGAUCAAUAUAUGUCAUUCACAUAUACUUAUCAGAAAGGCUGUAGUGCUCCCACUCACUUUCUUGUAAAUACAUGCUUCACCAAAAGUCUAUAUAAAACCAUAUGCUUUGAUCACCUUAUCAAAGCAUAUAUUCCAACUCCGAGAUGCUUGCACCAGUCCAUAGAUGGAUCGCUGGAGCUUGCACACUUUAUUAGCACCUUUAGGAUUGACAAAAACUUUCUUGUUGUAUCAUAUACAACUCUUCUUUAAGAAAUCCAUUAAGGAAUGUAGUUUUGACAUCCAUUUGCCAGAUUUCAUAAAAUGUGGCAAUUGCUAACAUGAUUCGGACAGAGUUAAGCAUCGCUGCGAGUGAGAAAAUCUUAUCGUAGUCAACACCUUGAACUUGUCAAAAAACUUUUUGCGGCAAUUCGAGCUUUGUAGAUAGUAACACUACUAUCAGCGUCUGUCUUCCUCUUGAAGAUCCAUUUAUUCUCAAUGGCUCGCCGAUCAUCGGGCAAGUCAAUCAAAGUCCAUACUUUGUUCUCAUACAUAGAUCUUAUCUCAGAUUUCAUGGCCUCAAGCCAUUUCGCGGAAUCUGGGCUCAUCAUCGCUUCCUCAUAGUUCGUAGGUUCGUCAUGGUCUAGUAACAUGACUUCCAGAACAGGAUUACCGAACCACUCUGGUGCGGACCAUACUCUGGUUGACCUGCGAGGUUCGGUAGUAACUUGAUCUGAAGUUUCAUGAUCAUCAUCAUUAGCUUCCUCACUAAUUGGUGUAGGAAUCACCGAAACUGAUUUCUGUGAUGAACUACUUUCAAAUUCGGGAGAAGGUACAAUUACCUCAUCAAGUUCUACUUUUCUCCCACUCACUUCUUUCGAGAGAAACUCCUUCUCUAGAAAGGAUCCAUUCUUAGCAACGAAUAUCUUGCCUUCGGAUCUGUGAUAGAAGGUAUACCCAACAGUCUUAGACGCAUUUCUCCGAUUUGGGUUCGAGCUUAUCAGGUUGAAGCUUUUUUCACAUAAGCAUCGCAGUCCCAAACUUUAAGAAAUGACAGCUUAGGUUUCUUGCCAAACCACAGUUCAUACGGUGUCGUCUCAACGGAUUAGAUGGUGCCCUAUUUAACGUGAAUGCAGCUGUCUCUAAUGCAUAACCCCAAAACGAUAGCGGUAAAUCGGUAAAAGACAUCAUAGAUCGCACCAUAUCUAAUGAAGUACGGUCACGAUGUUCGGACACACCAUUACACUUUGGUGUUCCAGGUGGCGUGAGUUGUGAAACUGUUCCACAUUGUUUUAAAUGAAGGCCAAACUCAUAACUCAAAUAUUCACCUCCACGAUCAGAUCAUAGAAACCUUAUUUUCUUGUUACGAUGAUUUUCCACUUCACUCUGAAAUUCUUUGAACUUUUCAAAUGUUUCAGACUUAUGUUUCAUCAAGCAGAUAUACCCAUAUAUGCUCAAAUCAUCUGUGAAGGUCAGAAAAUAACAAUACCCGCCGCAAGCGUCAACACUCGUCGGACUGCAUACAUCAGUAUGUAUUAUUUCCAAUAAGUCCGUUGCUCGCUCCAUUGUUCCGGAGAACGGAGUCUUAGUCAUCUUGCCCAUGAGGCAUGGUUCGCAGCAUCAAGUGAUUCAUAAUCAAGUGAUUCCAAAAGUCCAUCAGCAUGGAGUUUCUUCAUGCACUUUACACCAAUAUGACCUAAACGGCAGUGCCACAAAUAUGUUGCACUAUCAUUAUCAACUUUUCAUCUUUUGGCAUCAAUAUUAUGAAUAUGUGUAUCACUACGAUCGAGAUUCAAUAAACCAUUCACCUUGGGUGUAUGACCACAGAAGGUUUUAUUCAUGUAAACAGAAUAACAAUUAUUCUUUGACUUAAAUGAAUAACGUAUUGCAAUAAACAUGAUCCAAUCAUAUUAUGCUCAACGCAAACACCAAAUAACAUUUAUUUUAGGUUCAACACUAAUCCCGAAGGUAAAGGGAGUGUGCGAUGGUGGUCUUAUCAACCUUGGAAUCACUUCCAACACACAUCGUCACCUUGCCCUCAACUAGUCUUUGUUCAUUUUGUAACUCCUGUUUCGAGUUAUUAAUCAUAGCAACUGAACCAGUAUCAAAUACCCAGGGGCUACUAUGAACAGUAGUAAAGUACACAUCAAUAACAUGUAUAUCAUAUAUACUUUUGUUCACUUUGCCAUCCUUCUUAUCCGCCAAGUAUUUGGGGCAGUUCCGCUUCCAAUAACCAUUUCCUUCACAGUAGAAGCACUCAGUUUCAGGCUUGGGUCUAGCUUAGGGCUUCUUCAUGGGAGUGGCAACUUGCUUGCCAUUCUUCUUGAAGUUCCCUUUCUUUCCCUUGCCCUUUUACUUGAAACUAGUGGUCUUGUCAACCAUCAACAUUUGAUGCUUUUCUUGAUUUCUACCUUCGUCGAUUUCAGCAUCACGAAGAGGUCGGGAAUCGUUUUCGUCAUCCCUUGCAUAUUAUAGUUCAUCACGAAGUUCCAAUAACUUGGUGAUAGUGACUAGAGAACUCUGUCAAUCACUAUUUUAUCUGGAAACUCCCACUUGAUUCAAGCGCUUGUAGUACUUAGACAAUCUGAGCACAUGCUCACUGGUUGAGCUAUUCUUCUCCAUCUUGUAGGCAAAGUACUUGUCAGAGGUCUCAUACCUCUCGACUCGGGCAUGAGUCUGAAAUACCAAUUUCAGCUUUUGGAACAUCUUAUAUGCUCCGUGGCGUUCAAAACGUUUUGAAGUCCCGGUUCUAAGCCGUAAAGCAUGGCCCACUAAACUAUCAAGUAGUUAUCAUACCGAGCUUGCCAAAUGUUCAUAACAUCUGCAUCUGCUCCUGCAAUAGGUCCGUCACCUAGCGGUGCAUCAAGGACAUAAUUCUUCUAUGCAACAAUGAGGAUAAUCCUCAGACCACGGACCUAGUCCGCACCAUUGCUACUAUCAUCUUUCAACAUAGUUUUUCUCUAGGAACAUAUCAAAAAUAAAUGGGGAGCUACAUCGCGAGCUAUUGAUCUACAACAUAGUUAUGCAAAUACUAUCAGGACUAAGUGCAUGAUAAAUUAAAGUUCAAUUAAUCAUAUUACUUAAGAACUCCCGCUUAGAUAGACAUCUCUCUAGUCAUCUAAAUGAUCACGUGAUCCAUAUCAACUAAACCAUGUCCGAUCAUCACGUGAGAUGCAGAAGUUUCCAAUGGUGAACAUCACUAUGUUGAUCAUAUCUACUAUAUGAUUCAUGCUCGACCUUUUGGUCUCAGUGUUCCGAGGCCAUAUCUGCAUAUGCUAGGCUCGUCAAGUUUAACCCGAGUAUUCUGCGUGUGCAAAACUGGCUUGCACCCGUUGUAUGUGAACGUAGAGCUUAUCACACCCGAUCAUCACGUGGUGUCUCAGCACGAAGAACUGUCGCAACGGUGCAUACUCAGGGAGAACACUUAUACCUUGAAAUUUUAGUAAGAGAUCAUCUUAUAAUGCUACCGCCGUACUAAGCAAAAUAAGAUGCAUAAAGGAUAAACAUCACAUGCAAUCAAUAUAAGUGAUAUGAUAUGGCCAUCAUCAUCUUGUGCCUUUGAUCUCCAUCUCCAAAGCGCCGUCAUGAUCACCAUCGUCACCGGCUUGACACCUUGAUCACCAUCGAAACAUCGUUGUCAUCUCGCCAACUAUUGCUUCCACAACUAUCGCUACCGCUUAGUGAUAAAGUAAAGCAAUUACACGGCGGUUGCAUUUCAUACAAUAAAGCGACAACCAUAUGGCUCCUGCCAGUUGCCGAUAACUGUUACAAAACAUGAUCAUCUCAUACAACAAAUUAUAUAUCAUCAUGUCUUGACCAUAUCACAUCACAGCAAGCCCUGCAAAAACAAGUUAGAUGUCCUCUACUUUGUUGUUGCAAGUUUUACGUGGCUGCUAUGGGCUUCUAGCAAGAACCGUUCUUACCUACGCAUCAAAACCACAAUGAUUUUUCGUCAAGUGUGCUGUUUUAACCUUCAACAAGGACCGGGCGUAGUCACACUCGAUUCAACUAAAGUUGGAGAAACAGACACCCACUAGCCACCUGUUUGCGAAGCACGACGGUAGAACCAGUCUCAUGAACGCGGUCAUGUAAUGUCGGUCUGGGCCGCUUCAUCCAACAAUACCGCCGAAUCAAAGUAUGACAUGCUGGUAAGCAGUAUGACUAUUAUCGCCCACAACUCUUUGUGUUCUACUCAUGCAUAUAACAUCUACGCAUAGACCAUGCUCGGAUGCCACUGUUGGGGAACGUAGUAUUUCAAAAUUUUGCCUACGAACACGCAAGAUCUAUCUAGGAGAAGCAUAGCAACGAGCGGGGAGAGUGUGUCCACGUACCCUCGUAGACCGAAAGCGGAAGCGUUUAGUAACGCGGUUGAUGUAGUCGAACGUUUUUGUUGGGGAACGUAGCAGAAAUUCAAAAUUUUCUACGCAUCACCAAGAUCAAUCUAUGGAGUCAUCUAGCAACAAGAGGGGAGGAGUGCAUCUACAUACCCUUGUAGAUCGCGAGCGGAAGCGGUCAAGAGAACGGGGUUGAUGGAGUCGUACUCGUCGUGAUCCAAAUCACCGAUGAUCCUAGCGCCGAACGGACGGCACCUCCGCGUUCAACACACGUACGGAGCAGCGACGUCUCCUCCUUCUUGAUCCAGCAAGGGGGGAGGAGAGGUUGAUGGAGAUCCAGCAGCACGACGGCGUGGUGGUGGAAGUAGCGGGAUCCCGGCAGGGCUUCACCAAGCGCAAGCGGGGAGGAAGAGGUGUCACGGGAGGGAGAGGGAGGCGCCAGGGCUUGGGGUAUUGCUGCCCUCCCUUCCCCCCACUAUAUAUAGGGCCAAGGGAGAGAGGGGGGGGGGGCGCAGCCUUGGCCCUUCCUCCAAGGAAGGGUGCGGCCAGGGAGGAGUCCUUCCUCCCCAAGGCACCUCGGAGGUGCCUUCCCCCUUUAGGACUCUCCUCCUUUUUUUUCUUAUCUCUUGGCGCAUGGGCCUCUUGGGGCUGGUGCCCUUGGCCCAUAUAGGCCAAGGCGCACCCCCUACAGCCCAUGUGGCCCCCCGGGGCUGGUGGACCCCCUUGGUAAACCCCCGGACCCCUUUCGGCACUCCCGGUACAAUACCGAUAAAGUGCGAAACUUUUCCGGCGACCAAAAUAAGACUUCCCAUAUAUAAAUCUUUACCUCCGGACCAUUCCGGAACUCCUCGUGACAUCCGGGAUCUCAUCCGGGACUCCGAACAACUUUCGGGUUACCGCAUACUAAUAUCUCUACAACCCUAGCGUCACUGAACCUUAAGUGUGUAGACCCUACGGGUUCGGGAGACAUGCAGACAUGACCGAGACGACUCUCCGGUCAAUAACCAACAGCGGGAUCUGGAUACCCAUAUUGGCUCCCACAUGUUCCACGAUGAUCUCAUCGGAUGAACCACGAUGUCGAGGAUUCAAUCAAUCCCGUAUACAAUUCCCUUUGUCCAUCGGUAUGUUACUGGCCCGAGAUUCGAUCGUCGGUAUCCCGAUACCUUGUUCAAUCUCGUUACCGGCAAGUCUCUUUACUCGUUCCGUAACUCACAUCAUCCCGUGAUCAACUCCUUGGUCACAUUGUGCACAUUAUGAUGAUGUCCUACCGAGUGGACCCAGAGAUACCUCUCCGUUUACAUGGAGUGACAAAUCCCAGUCUCGAUUCGUGCCAACCCAACAGACACUUUCGGAGAUACCUGUAGUGCACCUUUAUAGCCACCCAGUUACGUUGUGACGUUUGGUACACCCAAAGCAUUCCUACGGUAUCCGGGAGUUGCACAAUCUCAUGGUCUAAGGAAAUGAUACUUGACAUUAGAAAAGCUCUUAGCAAACGAACUACACGAUCUUGUGCUAGGCUUAGGAUUGGGUCUUGUCCAUCACAUCAUUCUCCUAAUGAUGUGAUCCCGUUAUCAACGACAUCCAAUGUCCAUGGUUAGGAAACCGUAACCAUCUAUUGAUCAACGAGCUAGUCAACUAGAGGCUUACUAGGGACAUGGUGUUGUCUAUGUAUCCACACAUGUAUCUGAGUUUCCUAUCAAUACAAUUCUAGCAUGGAUAAUAAACGAUUGUCAUGAACAAGGAAAUAUAAUAAUAACCAAUUUAUUAUUGCCUCUAGGGCAUAUUUCCAACAGUCUCCCACUUGCACUAGAGUCAAUAAUCUAGUUCACAUCACCAUGUGAUUAACACUCACAGGUCACAUCACCAUGUGACCAACAUCCAAAGAGUUUACUAGAGUCAACAAUCUAGUUCACAUCACUAUGUGAUUAACACUCAAUGAGUUCUGGUUUGAUCAUGUUAUGCUUGUGAGAGAGGUUAUUAGUCAACGGGUCUGAACCUUUCAGAUCCGUGUGUGCUUUACGAAUAUCUAUGUCAUCUUGUGGAUGCUACCACGCGCUACUUGGAGCCAUUUCAAAUAACUGCUCUACUAUACGAAUCCGGUUUACUACUCAGAGUCAUCCGGAUUAGUGUCAAAGUUCGCAUCGACGUAACCCUUUACGACGAACUCGUUUUCACCUCCAUAAUCGAGAAAAUUCCUUAGUCCACUAGAUACUAAGGAUAAGUUCGACCGCUGUCAUGUGAUCCAUUCCCGGAUCACUAUUGUACCCCUUGACCAACUCAUGGCAAGGCACACUUCAUGUGCGGUACGCAGCAUAGCAUACUGUAGAGCCUACGUCUAAAGCAUAGGGGACGACCUUCGUCCUUUCUCUCUCUUCUGCUGUGGUCAGGUCUUGAGUCUUACUCAAUACUCACACCUUGUAACACAGCCAAGAACUCCUUCUUUGCUGAUCUAUUUUGAACUCUUUCAAAAUCAUGUCAAGGUGUGCGUUCUUUGAAAGUAUCAUCAGGCGUCUUGAUCUAUCUCUAUAGAUCUUGAUGCCCAAUAUGUAAGCAGCUUUAUCCAGGUCUUCCUUUGAAAAACUCCUUUCAAACAACCCUUUAUGCUUUCCAGUAAUUCUACAUCAUUUCGGAUCAACAAUAUGUCAUUCACAUAUACUUAUCAGAAAUGUUGUAGCGCUCCCACUCACUUUAUUGUAAAUACAAGUUUCUAACAAACUUUGUAUAAACCCAAAAACUUUGAUCACUCCAUCAAAGCGUAUAUUCUGACUCCGAGAUGCUUGCUCUAGUCCAUGGAAGGAUCGCUGGAGCUAGCAUACCUUUUAGCAUCCUUAGGAUCGACAAAACCUUUCUGAUUGUAUCACAUACAACCUUUCCUUACGAAAACAGGUAAGGAAACUUGUUUUUGACAUCCAUCUGCCAGAUUUCAUAAAUGCAGCUAAUGCUAACAUGAUUCCGACGGACUUAAGCAUCGCUACGGAUGAGAAAAUCUCAUCGUAGUCAACUCCUUGAACUUGUGAAAAUACUCUUUGCCACAAGUCGAGCUUCACAGACGGUAACAUUACCAUCCAUGUCCGUCUUCUUCUUAAAGAUCCAUUUAUCUCAAUGGCUUGCCGAUCAUCGGGCAAGUUCACCAAAGUCCAUGCUUUGUUCUGAUACAUGGAUCCUAUCUCGGAUUUCAUGGCUUCUAACCAUUUGUCGGAAUAUGGGCCCACCAUCGCUUCUCCAUAGCUUGUAGGUUCAUUGUUGUCUAGCAACACGACUUCCAAGACAGGAUCACGUACUACUCUGAAGUAGCACGCAUCCUCGUCGUCCUACGAGGUUUGGUAGUGACUUGAUCUGAAGUUUCAUGAUCACUAUCAUAAGCUUCCACUUCAAUUGGUGUAGGUGCCACAGGAACAACUUCCUGUGCCCUGCUACACACUAGUUGAAGUCAUAACCUCAUCAAGUCUCCACCAUCCUCCCACUCAAUUCUUUCGAGAGAAACUUUUCCUCGAGAAAGGACCCGUUUCUAGAAGCAAUUACUUUUGCUUCCAGACCUGAAAUAGGAGGUAUACCCAACUGUUUUGGGUAUUCUAUGAAGAUGCAUUUAUCCGCUUUGGGUUCGAGCUUAUCAGCCUGAAACUUUUUCACAUAAGCGUCGCAGCCCCAAACUUUUAAGAAACGACAACUUAGGUUCUCUAAACGGUGUCGUCUCAACGGAAUUGCGUGGUGCCCCUAUUUAAAGUGAAUGCGGUUGUCUCUAAUGCCUAACCCAUAAACAAUAGUGGUAAUUCGAUGAGAGACAUCAUGGUAUGCACCAUAUCCAAUAGGGUGCAGUUAUGAUGUUCGGACACACCAUCACAUUGUGGUGUUCCAGUCGGUAUUAAUUGUGAAACACUUUCCACAAUGUCUUAAUUGUGUGCCAAACUCGUAACUCAGAUAUCUCUAUGAUCAUAUCAUAGACAUUUUAUCCUCUUGUCACGACGAUCUUCAACUUCACUCUGAAAUUACUUGAACCUUUCAAUAAUUCAGACUUGUGUUUCAUCAAGUAAAUACACUCAGCAUCUACUCAAAUCAUCUGUGAAGUAAGAACAUAACAAUAUCCACUGCAUGCCUCAGCACUCAUUGGACUGCAUACAUCAAAAUGUAUUACUUCCAACAAGUUGGUCUCUUGUUCCAUCUUACUGAAAACGAGGCCUUUCAGUCAUCUUGCCCAUGUGGUAUGAUUUGCAUGUCUCAAGUGAUUCAAAAUCAAGUGAGUCCAAACUAUCCAUCUGCAUGGAGUUUCUUCAUGCAUAUAUACCAAUAGACAUGGUUCGCAUGUCUCAAUCUUUUCAAAAACGAGUGAGUCCAAAGAUCCAUCUACAUGGAGCUUCUUCAUGCGUUCUAUACCAAUAUGACUCAAAUGGCAGUGCCACAAGUAUGUGGAACUAUCAUUACUAUUUUAUAUCUUUUGGCACGAACAUGUGUAUCACUACGAUCGAGAUUCAUUUUAGGUGCAAGGCCAUUGAAGGUAUUAUUCAAAUAAACAGAGUAACAAUUAUUCUCCUUAAAUGAAUAACCGUAUUGCGAUAAACAUAAUCCAAUCAUGCUCAAAGCAAACACCAAAUCUCAACAGUAGAGGGAGCAUGCGAUGCUUGAUCACAUCAACCUUGGAAACACUUCCAACACAUAUCGUCAUCUCACCUUUAGCUAGUCUCCGUUUAUUUUGCAGCUUUUAUUUCGAGUUACUUACACUUAGCAACCAAACCGGUAUCUAAUACUCUGGUGCUGUUAGGAGUACUAGUAAAAUACACAUUCAUAUAACGUAUAUCCAAUAUACUUCUGUCGACCUUGCCUGCCUUCUCAUCUACCAAGUAUCUAGGGUAGUACAGCUUCAGUGACCGUUCCCCUCAUUACAGAAGCACUUAGUCUCGGGUUUGGGUUCAACCUUGGGAUUCUUCACUAGAGCAGCAAACGACUUGCUGUUUCAUGAAGUAUCCCUUUUGCCCUUGCCCUUCUUAAACUAGUGGUUUUACUAACCAUCAACAAUUGAUGCUCCUUCUUGAUUUCUACUUUCGCGGUGUCAAACAUCGCGAAUAGCUCAAGGAUCAUCAUAACUAUCCCUGAUAUUUUAUAGUUCAUCACGAAGCUCUACUAGCUUGGUGGCAGUGACUAUGGAGAACCAUCACUAUCUCAUCUGGAAGAUUAACUCCCACUCGAUUCAAGCGAUUGUGGCACUCAGACAAUCUGAGCACAUGCUCAACGAUUGAGCUUUUCUCCCUUAGCUGCAGGCUUAAGAAACUUGUCAGAGGUCUCAUACCUCUUGACGUGGGCACUAGUCUGAAAUCCCAAUUUCAGUCUUCGGAACAUCUCAUAUGUUCUACGACGUUUCAAAACCGUCUUUGGUGCCACAAUUCUAAACCGUUAGCAAUACGCACUGAACUAUCACGUAGUCAUCAAAACGUGUGUGUCAGAUGUUUCGCAACAUCUACAGACGACGUUGAGGUUCAGCACACCGAGCGGUGCAUUAAGGACAUAAGCCUUCUGUGCAGCAAUGAGGACAAUCAGUGUACGGACCCAGUCCGCAUAAUUGCUACUACCAACUUUCAACUAAAUUUUCUCUAGGAACGUGUCUUAAACAGUAGAACUAAAGCGUAUGACAUAAUUUGUAAAGACCUUUUGACUGUGUUCAUGAUAAUGAGGUUCAUCUGAUUAUUGAACUCCCACUCAGAUAGACAUCCCUCUAGUCAUCUAAGUGAUACAUGAUCCGAGUCAAACUAGGCCGUGUCCGAUCAUCACGUGAGACGGACUAGUCAUCAUCGGUGAACAUCUCCAUGUUGAUCGUAUCUGCUAUACGACUCAUGUUCGACCUUUCGAUCUCUUGUGUUCCGAGGCCAUGUCUGUACAUGCUAGGCUCGUCAAGUCAACCUAAGUGUUUCACAUGUGUUCCGAGGCCAUGUCUGUACAUGCUAGGCUCGUCAACACCCGUUGUAUUCGAACGUUAGAAUCUAUCACACCCGAUCAUCACGUGGUGCUUCGAAACAACGAACCUUCGCAACGGUGCACAGUUAGGGGGAACACUUCUCUUGAAAUUUUAUAAGGGAUCAUCUUACUUACUACCGUCGUUUUAAGCAAAUAAGAUGCAUAACAUGAUAAACAUCACAUGCAAUCAAAUAGUGACAUGAUAUGGCUAAUAUCAUUUUGCUCCUUUGAUCUCCAUCUUCGGGGCACCAUGAUCAUCUUUGUCACCGGCAUGACACCAUGAUCUCCAUCAUUGUGUCUUCAUGAAGUUGUCACGCCAACGAUUACUUCUACUUCUAUGGCUAACGCGCUUAGCAAUAAAGUAAAGUAAUUUACAUGGCGUUACUCAAUGACACGCAGGUCAUACAAAAAAUAAAGACAACUCCUAUGGCUCCUACCGGUUGUCAUACUCAUCGACAUGCAAUUCGUGAUUCCUAUUACAAGAACAUGAUCAAUCUCAUACAUCACAUAUAUCACUCAUCACAUUCUUUUGGCCAUAUCACAUCACAUAGCAUACCCUGCAAAAACAAGUUAGACGUCCUCUAAUUGUUGUUGCAUGUUUUACGUGGCUGCUAUGGGAUUCUAGCAAGAACGUUUCUUACCUACGCAAAAGCCACAACGUGAUAUGCCAAUUUCUGUUUACCCUUCAUAAGGACCCUUUUCAUCGAAUCCGAUCCGACUAAAGUGGGAGAGACAGACACCCGCUAGCCACCUUAUGCAACUAGUGCAUGUCAGUCGGUGGAACCUGUCUCACGUAAGUGUACGUGUAAGGUCGGUCCGGGCCGCUUCAUCCCACAAUGCCACUGAAACAAGAUAAGACUAGUAACGGCAAGAAGAAUUGGCAACAUCGACGCCCACAACUACUUUGUGUUCUACUCGUGCAUAGAAACUACGCAUAGACCUAGCUCAUGAUGCCACUGUUGGGGAACGUAGCAGAAAUUAAAAAUUUUCUACGCAUCACCAAGAUCAAUCUAUGGAGUCAUCUAGCAACAAGAGGGGAGGAGUGCAUCUACAUACCCUUGUAGAUCGCGAGCGGAAGCGUUCAAGAGAACGGGGUUGAUGGAGUCGUACUCGUCGUGAUCCAAAUCACCGAUGAUCCUAGCGCCGAACGGACGGCACCUCCGCGUUCAACACACGUACGGAGCAGCGACGUCUCCUCCUUCUUGAUCCAGCAAGGGGGGAGGAGAGGUUGAUGGAGAUCCAGCAGCACGACGGCGUGGUGGUGGAAGUAGCGGGAUCCCGACAGGGCUUCACCAAGCGCAAGCGGGGAGGAAGAGGUGUCACGGGAGGGAGAGGGAGGCGCCAGGGCUUGGGGUAUUGCUGCCCUCCCUUCCCCCCACUAUAUAUAGGGCCAAGGGAGAGAGGGGGGGCGCAGCCUUGGCCCUUCCUCCAAGGAAGGGUGCGGCCAGGGAGGAGUCCUUCCUCCCCAAGGCACCUCGGAGGUGCCUUCCCCCUUUAGGACUCUCCUCCUUUUUUUCUUAUCUCUUGGCGCAUGGGCCUCUUGGGGCUGGUGCCCUUGGCCCAUAUAGGCCAAGGCGCACCCCCUACAGCCCAUGUGGCCCCCCGGGGCUGGUGGACCCCCUUGGUGGACCCCCGGACCCCUUUCGGCACUCCCGGUACAAUACCGAUAAAGUGCGAAACUUUUCCGGCGACCAAAAUAAGACUUCCCAUAUAUAAAUCUUUACCUCCGGACCAUUCCGGAACUCCUCGUGACGUCCGGGAUCUCAUCUGGGACUCCGAAUAACUUUCGGGUUACCGCAUACUAAUAUCUCUACAACCCUAGCAUCACCGAACCUUAAGUGUGUAGACCCUACGGGUUCGGGAGACAUGCAGACAUGACCGAGACGACUCUCCGGUCAAUAACCAACAACGGGAUCUGGAUACCCAUAUUGGCUCCCACAUGUUCCAUGAUGAUCUCAUCGGAUGAACCACGAUGUCGAGGAUUCAAUCAAUCCCGUAUACAAUUCCCUUUGUCCAUCGGUAUGUUACUUGCCCGAGAUUCGAUCGUCGGUAUCCCGAUACCUUGUUCAAUCUCGUUGCCGGCAAGUCUCUUUACUCGUUCCGUAACUCACAUCAUCCCGUGAUCAACUCCUUGGUCACAUUGUGCACAUUAUGAUGAUGUCCUACCGAGUGGGCCCAGAGAUACCUCUCCGUUUACACGGAGUGACAAAUCCCACUCUCGAUUCGUGCCAACCCAACAGACACUUUCGGAGAUACCUGUAGUGCACCUUUAUAGCCACCCAGUUACGUUGUGACGUUUGGUACACCCAAAGCAUUCCUACGGUAUUCGGGAGUUGCACAAUCUCAUGGUCUAAGGAAAUGAUACUUGACAUUAGAAAAGCUCUUAGCAAACGAACUACACGAUCUUGUGCUAGGCUUAGGAUUGGGUCUUGUCCAUCACAUCAUUCUCCUAAUGAUGUGAUCCCGUUAUCAACGACAUCCAAUGUCCAUGGUCAGGAAACCGUAACCAUCUAUUGAUCAACGAGCUAGUCAACUAGAGGCUUACUAGGGACAUGGUGUUGUCUAUGUAUCCACACAUGUAUCUGAGUUUCCUAUCAAUACAAUUCUAGCAUGGAUAAUAAACGAUUGUCAUGAACAAGGAAAUAUAAUAAUAACCAAUUUAUUAUUGCCUCUUGGGCAUAUUUCCAACAGUUUUCGCGAUCCAACCGAUCAAGUACCGAACGCACGGCACCUCCGCGAUCUGCACACGUUCAGCUCGGUGACGUCCCUCGAACUCUUGAUCUAGUUGAGGCCGCGGGAGAGUUUCGUCAACACGGCGGCGUGGUGAUGGUGAUGAUGAAGUUACUGGCGCAGGGCUUCGCCUAAGCACUACGACGAUAUGACCGAGGUGUUGAACUGUGGAGGGGGGCACCGCACGCGGCUAAGAGAUUGUCUGUUGUGCCUUUGGGGUGCCCCCUGCCCCCGUAUAUAAAGGAGGGGAGGAGGAGGCCGGCCAACAAGGCGCGCUCCAGGGAGAGGGGAGUCCUACUAGGACUCCAGUCCUAGUAGGAUUCGGCCCCACCCUUUUUUCCUUCUACCGGAGGGGGAAAAAGGGGAUGGAGAGGGAGUAGAAGGAAAGGGGGGUGGCGCCCCCUUCCCAAGUCCAAUUCGGCCUCCUCCCUUGUGGGGGGCGCACCAGCCCCUUGUGGGCUGGUUAGCCUCCCUCCUAUGGCCCAUAAGGCCCAUAUCUUUCCCCGGGGGGUUCCGGUAACCUCCCGGUACUCCGGAAAAAUGCCCGAAUCACUCGGAACCAUUCCGAUGUCCGAAUGCAACCUUCCAAUAUAUGAAUCUUCACCUCUCGACCAUUUAGAGACUCCUCGUCAUGUCUCUAAUCUCAUCCGGGACUCCAAACAAACUUCGGUACAUCAAAUCACAUAACUCAUAAUACAAAUCAUCAUCGAACGUUAAGCGUGCGGACCCUACGGGUUCGAGAACUAUGUAUACAUGACCGAGACACAUCUCGGGUCAAUAACCAAUAGCUGAACCUGGAUGCUCAUAUUGGCUCCUACAUACUCUACGAAGAUCUUUAUCGGUCAAACCGCAUAACAACAUACGUUGUUCCCUUUGUCAUCGGUAUGUUACUUGCCCGAGAUUCGAUCGUCGGUAUCAUCAUACCUAGUUCAAUCUCGUUACCGGCAAGUCUCUUUACUCGUUUCGUAAUGAAUCAUCCCGCAACUAACUCAUUAGUCACAUUGUUUGCAAGGCUCAUAGUGACGUGCAUUACCGAGAGGGGCCAGAGAUACCUCUCCGAUACAUGGAGUGACAAAUCCUAAUCUCGAUCUAUGCCAACUCAACAAACACCAUCGGGGACACCUGUAGAGCAUCUUUAUAAUCACCCAGUUACGUUGUGACGUUUGAUAGCUGCUACCUCUUGAGCAUGCAUUGGUUUUCCCUUUAAGAGGAAAGGGUGAUGCGGCAAAGUAGCGUAAGUAUUUCCCUCAGUUUUUGAGAACCAAGGUAUCAAUCUAGUAGGAGACUACACGCAAGUCCCUAGUACCUGCACAAACAAAUAAGAACCUUGCAACCAACGCGAUAAAGGGGUUGUCAAUCCCUUCACGGCCACUUGCAAAAGUGAGAUCUGAUAGAGAUAAUAAGAUAAAUAUUUUUGGUAUUUUUGUUGUAUAGAUUGAAAAGUAAAGAUUGCAAAAAUAAACGGCGACAUAAAUAGCAAGUUGGCGGGAGAUUAACAUGAUGGAAGAUAUACCCGGGGGCCAUAGGUUUCACUAGUGGCUUCUCUCAAGAUAGCAUAUUUUACGGUGGGUGAACAAAUUACUGUCGAGCAAUUGAUAGAAAAGCGCAUAGUUAUGAGAAUAUCUAGGCAUGAUCAUGUAUAUAGGCAUCACGUCCGUGUCAAGUAGACCGAAACUAUUCUUUAUCUACUACUAUUACUCCAGACAUCGACCGCUAUCCAGCAUGCAUCUAGAGUAUUAAGUUCAUAAGAACAGAGUAACGCAUUAGGCAAGAUGACAUGAUGUAGAGGGAUAAACUCAAGCAAUAUGAUAUAUACCCCAUGUUUUUAUCUUCGAUGGCAACAAUACAAUACGUGCCUUGCUGCCCCUACUGUCACUGGGAAAGGGCACCGCAAGAUUGAACCCAAAGCUAAGCACUUCUCCCAUUGCCAGAAAGAUCAAUCUAGUAGGCCAAACCAAACUGAUAAUUCGAAGAGACUUGCAAAGAUAUCAAAUCAUGCAUAUAAGAAUUCAGAGAAGAUUCAAAUAUUGUUCAUAGAUAAACUUGAUCAUAAACCCACAAUUCAUCGGAUCUCGACAAACACACCGCAAAAAGUAUUACAUCGAACAGAUCUCCAAGAAGAUCGAGGAGAACUUUGUAUUGAGAUCCAAAGAGAGAGAAGAAGCCAUCUAGCUAAUAACUAUGGACCCGAAGGUCUGUGGUAAACUACUCACACAUCAUCGGAGAGGCUAUGUUGUUGAUGUAGAAGCCCUCCAUGAUCGAUUCCCCCUCCGGCGGAGCGCCGGAAAAGGCCCCAAGAUGGGAUCUCACGGGUACAGAAGGUUACGGCGGUGGAAAUAGGGUUUUGUGGUGCUCCUGGAUGUUUUCAGGGUAUAUGAGUAUAUAUAGGCGAAAGAAAUAGGUCGGUGGAGCCACGAGGGGCCCACGAGGGUGGGGGGCGCGCCCUCCUACCUCGUGGCCGUCUCGUUGCUUCCUUGACGUCCACUCCAAGUCUCCUAAAUUGCGUUUGUUCCAAAAAACGACUCUCCCGAAGGUUUCAUUCCGUUUGGAUUCCGUUUGAUAUCCCUUUUCUGUGAAGCACUGAAAUAGGCAAAAAAAAACAAUUUGCACUGGGCCUUUGGUUCGUAGGUUAGUCCCAAAAAUAAUAUAAAAGUGCAUAAUAAAGCCCAUUAAACAUCCAAAAUAGAUAAUAUAAUAGCAUGGAACAAUAAAAAAUUAUAGAUACGUUGGAGACGUAUCAAUAGCACACAAGGUGUUCCUCCGGUAUUCGAGAGUUGCAUAAUCUCAUAGUCAGAGGAACAUGUAUAAGUCAUGAUGGAAGCAAGAGCAAUAAAACUAAACGAUCAUUUAUGCUAAGCUAGCGGAUGGGUCUUGUCCAUCACAUCAUUCUAUAAUGAUGUGAUCCUGUUCAUCAAAUGACAACAUAUUGUGUAUGGUCAGGAAACUUAACCAUCUUUGAUUAACGAGCUAGUCAAGUAGAGGCAUACUAGGGACACUCUGUUUUGUCUAUGUAUUCACACAUGUACUAAGUUUCCGGUUAAUACAAUUCUAAAAUGAAUAAUAAACAUUUAUCAUGAUAUAAGGAAAUAUAAAUAACAACUUUAUUAUUGCCUCUGGGGCAUAUUUCCUUCAGAUCUGUUUUUAUUUCAUGUUUUUGUAGAAUUUUAGUUGAUGGAAGCUCAUAAAACCUUCAAUUAGGGUAGAUGAGAUCCGCUUGUAGAUAAUAAAUUUCUGCACCCCGGUUGUUAGUGGCAAGCAGACUAUUUUGCAAUCUGAAAUUUAUGAGUUUCCAAUGUACCUUCCUUAUGUAGUGAUUUCAGAGAAUUAGCGCUUCCAAUGUACGGAAGGAAUUUCAAUCUCUUACAGGCAGCUUCUUAUUAUGUACUAAUGCAUCUACCAUGCUUCGUAUGUAUGGACUGAAUUUCAAUCUUGCUAUACUUCCUAGGUGCAAAUAUUAUUUAUUCAUAGCAUUAACAUCAAUGCUUCAUAUUUGAUUCUUACGUACAUAAGCUUCUUCCAUGCUAUGGAACUUCAGGCUCUUGUUAUCUUUCUUGUUGUAUAGAUGUAAAGUUCAUUGCCGUAGAGCAUCCAUGUUUCUUGCUUCUUGAUUGGUAUAUAUGUUCAGAAUGCGUGGAGAUUUUCAUCUUCUAAAAAAACAAGCUUCAUUAUAUUUGUCAGCACAUGUAUGUUUUUUUUCUUCCAUGGCCUCUCCAGGUUAUGUAAUUAGCCUUUUCAUUCUAGUAAUAAUACGUAUAUAUGGCAUAUUAUGUCAAGCUUGCAUAUUUAUAUUUCAUUCCAUAUAUCCCCUCGCUCUCUCACAUUUUGUAAGUCUAUGAUGAAUGACAAAAUUAAGAGGAUGCAACUGCCAAGCCAUUUGACAGUGUAUAUAACUGUAUAUGUAUGCUUCCAUCUCAAUUAUUAUUGCUUCAAAAUUCUAAAUUCUAUGUUUUGGCCAUGCAUGUGUUCUUCCACGCUUAUUCACCAUACAUAGCUUGCUUACAUGCUUCCACUCAUACCUUUCAUUGCUUCAUUUAGAAUUAUGUUUUGCUUCAAGCAAUUCGUUGGCGAUUUGGACAGCGUUGCAAGCACUAUUUGAAGCACCGUUGCGCUGACAUGUUACUUCUUAAAGCCAACGGAAACAAAGCGAUGUGUUGCUUCUAUACGUCACUGGUGCCAAGAUAUUGCAUACAGAAGAAAGUAGGAUGCACCAAAGGACAACUUUAUGGCCGCGUUUUCACAUCCCAUACAGAAACAAGUAGGAUGCUAGUAGGAGCAAUUACCAAUCUGUAAACAUGGUUUCAAUUUAAUUGUUUGAGUGCAGAAUUGUUUGUCCAUUGAAUUAUGGAAGCACAAUCUUUUGUCCAUGGAAACAAGCUGAGCACAUUCGUAUUUCUUGGAAACACAUCCGUAAUGUGUUUGAAGCAUGUUUACUCGUGAUAAUUAGUUCUUUUUCGUGGAAAUGUCUUAUUUUGUUAGAAGCAAUUGUUUAGUCGAUCAAAACAAUAUUCUCAUGUUUCUAAAGCAAAACAAAACACCACUUAAGUACAAAUUCUUAUAAAAUAUAGCAAGUUUAAUUGACCAUGGUAGCCAAUUCACUGGUAGAUGGAAGCUAGAUAUUCGAUCACAUUGGAAACCAAUUUUGAUAAAGAGGAAGCAAAUUUAAACAAUAAUGGAAACAAUAUUUGUUUCCCAAGGAAGACAACGUCCUGACGUGGAAUUCUAGGACGAGACUUGUCUGCUCCCCGCGCGUGUGCCCAUCCGUGCUCCCGCAUAUGUGGCUUGAUUUGAUUGGAACAAAAUAAGGCCCGGCCCCACCUCCUUAAAAUCAGAGGGGGGAUGAUUAGAUUAGAAAGGAAAAAGGAAAAAAGACAGCCGUAGUGGGAGCACGGAUGGGAGCAUGGGGAGGAAGCAGGCAAGCCGGAUCCGGAAUUCUAUAUAUUAAAGAGCUUAUAAAUCGGGAGUUAAUCCAGACGUGAUUAACGGAGGUUGUUAGGGAAAGAAAUCACAAUUUGGUGCAUAUCGCUUGCCAACUGCCUGGGCGCUUCUUUUGGUAAUCUCGCGGGAUUUAAGCACCAGAUCGGACGUCUACAUUGCUUUCUAUCCAACGGUGCAUCACUAGUCUGAUAGGAUCCAUAGCAUCAGUAGUCUGAUGCCUAGUGGCUCUUCCAUUAAUUAAUGCCGGUUAUUCAGAAGACUGAUCGUCGUCUCGCUGCCCUUCCCGAAAGGCUGCGGGCUUUUGAUUACCAGCGUUGAGGAGAUGACGCACGCAAAUGAACUACGACAUGCAUGCAGUAUCUUGCUUUGGUCAUGUCGACUAAAGUGCAUACGGUUUUUAGAUGCAUAUAAACUUCUCUCUGUCUCUUCUGCUCUCGGUAGAAACUAUCUCCUAAUAACGUGUUUAAGUGAAAGAUCCACUUGUAUUGAUUGAUAGAAACAAUACAACUUAUAUAUGUUUGGAAGAGACGCAUCACACAAAACGAGAUGGUUGGAAACCUGGAACCGAUGCAACGAUUAUAAGAGAGGGAAAAGAGAGAUGUGUCGGUUGCUACAAGGCAACUGUAUGCCGCAGGACAAGGGGAGAUUUUCCCUCUAAUUACUACAAGUUAAUUACUCACAACAAUUUUUAGCAAAAUCCACUAAGCCUUAUUGAUCAAAGUUUACAAGUAGAGCAACACACAUGAGAUCAUGAGGUUGCCCCAACUACAAGAGCUUCAGUGUUUGAAGCAUGCCCUUGGAAUUUUUUUGCAAUCAACAAAGUAGGAUUUGCCUUGCUUCUAUCACUUUGAUGAUCGAGGUGUAUCGACCACAGAUCCUAUAUAUCGCGUCAUGCGAGAUGGAUGCAGCUCCGCCUCUGGAGAUUCCACGUGGGUCGCCUCCUAACAAUAGACCAGGUGGAUGCAAUGUUGUAGUUUUUUGACUGAUUCUGGAACCUUCCACAGAGUUUUAUUUUGCUAUCAGUAUUUCUCUAUAUCUACUUUAUUGAUUUUAAUGUUUUUUUUGUUUUACUAGCAAAAGAGUCCGUGCGUUGCAACGGGAGAAAAAACAUAACACACGCUCUUAACCCAACAACCAUCAGUCAAGACCACAAUAGGUCCAUCUCCUUUAUUUUAGCGAGGCAUCAUAAUUGUGUUGCUGCUUAUCCUCCUUCUCACCCUCGCCGGCGAUGGCCUCAGUGUUCGCACAAAACAAAACGUGUUUGAAUAUGGUUAAUCCUAAGGCGUCUCUCUCUCCCUCUCUCCUCCCUCCCUCCCUCUCUCACAUCCGUGCUCAUAGCAUCUGCCUAAUUGCCUCUGCACAGCCUCAGCUCUCUCUCUCUCUCUCUCUCUCUCUCUCUCUCUCUCGCGCGCGCGCGCGAUGAGAAAUCUGUUGUUGUCCCCUGCGAUGUUUUCUAGAGGUAUGCAUUUCUAGAUAUUGAUGUUUUCUUUUCUCUAUAUGGUUAUAGUGGAGUGUUUAUUUGCAAUCCGGUUCCCCGCCGGUACGAAAGAAAAAUGGAUCGUGCGCUAUAAAUUAUAUAAGUUUGCUUCCAAAAAAAUAUUAAAAAAAUAUUUAACAUGUGAAAUUAAGAUCAUAUUCAGAUUUCACACAUUUUUCUAAUCAAAUAUCAUAUAUAACAUGUUAAAAUCAAAGUUACGGUCUAAAAGAUACGGAUAAUUUAGAAAAUCAUUUGUUUGACUUAAAUAUCUUCCAAACUAAUAUUUUAAAACACUUAACAAGUAAAAGUAUUAUCAUAUUCAUAUUUUACAUAUUUUUCUAAUCAAAUUUCAUAUAUAACAUGUUCAAAUCGGAGUUACGGUUUAAAAGAAACGGAUGAUUUAGAAAAGCAUUUGUUUGACUUAAAUAUGAUCCGCGAAUGAAUUAUCUAAAAGGUUAGGGGGUUUUCGAAAAAUGUAAAAUAACGGUUCGGGUGUGACUUAAAUUCGAACUGCGGGUUGAUUUCAAGAAAACAUGGGGGCUUUUGUGUAAAAUGCGCAAAAACGAUUCGUUCUUACUUAAAAUAGGACUGCGGGUUGAAUUCUCUGAAAUAGAGGGACUUUUCGGCAAAAUGCCAUGGCGGACGACCAGAAACCCAAUUUUCUUUAUUAUUACUAGCAAAAGAGUCCAUGCGUUGCAACGGGAGAAAAACAUAACACACGCUCUUAACCCAACAACCAUCAGUCAAGACCACAAUGGGUCCAUCUCCUUUAUUUUAGCGAGGCAUCAUAUUUGUGUUGCCGCUUAUCCUCCUUCUCACCCUCGCCGGCGAUGGCCUCAGUGUUCACACAAAACAAAACGUGUUUGAGUAUGGUUAAUCGUAAGGCGUCUCUCUCUCCCUCUCUCCUCCCUUCUCUCUCUCUCUCCCUCUCUCUCUCGCGCGCAUGCGCGCGCGAUGAGAAAUCUGUUGUUGUCCCCUGCGACGUUUUUUAGAGGUAUGCAUUUCUAGUUAUUGAUGUUUUCUUUUUCCUAUAUGGUUGCAGUGGAGUGUUUAUUUGCAAUCCGGUUCGCCGCCGGUACGAAAAAAAUGGAUCAUGCACUAUAAAUUAUCUGUGACGCCCGGAUAAUUAAGCUACAGUAAUCCCAAGUUAAUAGUGCCAUGUCAUCACAUUGCUGUUCUAAUCCUCACUUGAUCCAAAUCACUGUUCAAACUCAAAUUCAAAUUUAAAGUCAAAAAUUCAAAUUUGUCAAACAUGAAAACUAAAAUGUUCAAAGUGUGGCAAACAAUUCCUGGAUAUUUUUCAUGUUGGAACCAACCUCUUUUGGAUUCCCAAAGUGCUCCUAAAGUUAUUUAGUGGUCCAGCAGCAUUUAAAAUUGGCCUUUCCAAUUUCUAAAAUUGGUUAGACAACUUCUUUUGGCCUCAAACUUUUUGUGACUCCUAGAAUUAACGUGCUUGAUUUAUGAGGUAAGUCUCAUAUCUAGCAAAGCUUGUUUAGAUUUUUAGUUUAAUAGAAAACACUAGCAAAAAUUUAAACAGAAAAUAAAUGCAAAAGAGACCCCCCGGCCAACUAAGCCAACAGGCCCAGCUGGCCACCCACGCGGCCCAACCGGCCCACCCCUGCUACCCCCUGGCCCAUUAGGCCACCCCCACUCCUCGAACCCUAACCCCUCCCGAUCCCCACUCCCCCCACUCGCUCCCCCGCACGCCUCUCUCCCCUUCCCUCGUCUGGAUCGGGGCAGAGGGCCCCGAACCCUUCGCCACUCCGCCACCGCCCGGCGCCUCCGGCCACCCCUNNNNNNNNNNNNNNNNNNNNNNNNNNNNNNNNNNNNNNNNNNNNNNNNNNNNNNNNNNNNNNNNNNNNNNNNNNNNNNNNNNNNNNNNNNNNNNNNNNNNNNNNNNNNNNNNNNNNNNNNNNNNNNNNNNNNNNNNNNNNNNNNNNNNNNNNNNNNNNNNNNNNNNNNNNNNNNNNNNNNNNNNNNNNNNNNNNNNNNNNNNNNNNNNNNNNNNNNNNNNNNNNNNNNNNNNNNNNNNNNNNNNNNNNNNNNNNNNNNNNNNNNNNNNNNNNNNNNNNNNNNNNNNNNNNNNNNNNNNNNNNNNNNNNNNNNNNNNNNNNNNNNNNNNNNNNNNNNNNNNNNNNNNNNNNNNNNNNNNNNNNNNNNNNNNNNNNNNNNNNNNNNNNNNNNNNNNNNNNNNNNNNNNNNNNNNNNNNNNNNNNNNNNNNNNNNNNNNCGACACCCCUCGUGAGCCCCGUCUGCCCUCGUCUCUCCCCGUCGCCGGAUCCGGCCCGCGCCAACGCUCAUGACGCCCCAGCCUCCCCGUCGCAUUCCCACCUUCGCCCGCGCACCGGCUACGACCCGUGCGUGCGCCCGCGCCCUCCGCAAUGCUGCCUGCUGCAGCCGUUGCUCUUUUGCUAUUGCUGCCGCUGCGUGCUGCCGCUGCUAGCCACCACCGCCACUAGCGCUCGUCGCCACUGCCCGGCGCCGGCGUGCGCGCCCGCCGUUGGCCGCUGCUGGUCCUGGUCGCUAGCGCCCGGUGCCCGUGCAUGCCCUGCCAGAGAGGCCGGGCUGGCCCUAUGACAUGUGGGGCCGGCCGGCCAGUUAAUUAACUUAGGCCUACACCCCCACUAAUCAUAUAGUUAGGCCAAUAUGGCUACGCUUUAAAAUGUUAAAUUGUCCCUGACAUAUGGACCCCACCACUUAAUUAACCCUCUUAUUAAAAUAAGCCACUAGUUAAAACUACUGUCUAUGACAUGUGGACCCAGCACACAUUUCUUUUGGAUAAGGUUGACUGGGUCAGCUGCUGACCCAGCAGUAUGGCCCCACUGUCAGCCACACUUUCACAUCUCUGGGUACACUCUCUGUGUACCCAUAGCAAUUACACUUAAUAUAUUUUACGAAUUAAAAUAAAUCCUGUAAUUUUCAGAAUAUUGUUUAAUCUUUGAAAAAUCGUAUAAAUUAAUUCAUAACUCGGAUGAAAAAGUUUUAUACAUGAAAGUUGCUCAGAACGACGAGACGAAUUGGAAUACGCUCUCCGUUCAUCUGUCACAUGCCCCUAGCAUAGCGAACAUCGAACUUUUCCCCUCCGGUUCGUCUGUCCGAAAAUGCCUAACACUGGGGAAACAUUCCCGGAUGUUAUCCCCCUUCGCCGGUGUCGUGUAGCAUUGUGUUAGAACACCCCUUGCAUCGCGUAUUGCCACGUUACGCUUUGUGAUGCUAUCUGUGCUUUAUAUUUACUGUUUCUUCCCCCUCUUCUGUCCAGUAGACCCAGAGAUCGAUGUUGCCCCUGUGAUCGACUUCACGGCUGACGACACUGCCUUUGCCGCCGAGCUUCCAGGCAAGCCCCCCUUUGAUCAUCCCGAUAUCGCCCAUUCCAUUCUCUCAUGCUUGCAUUAGAUUUUGCUACUGUUAUUGAUUGCUCCUAUUCUGAUGCAUAGCCUGAUUUUGUAACCUGCUUAUUGUUACCUACCUGCUUAUCUUAAACUGCUUAGUAUAGGUAGGUUAGUGAUCCAUCAGUGACCCCCACCUUGUCCUUGUUGCCCCUGCUUCAUCAUCGACGACUCGAUCAACUUGAUCGACGACCAGAGCCCGACACCUCACAUCACAUCACGCCCCUUUUGUUGCUCGACUCUACAUAGCUACUAUCGAGUGCCGAGGGUGAUCCCUCAUAACGCACUCCUGAUGAUAAUUCUGUAGUGUAGCUAUUCGGUCGUGGUCAUCGAGGGUGAUUUCCUCUUUCACCAUUCCCGAUACGGCUCUGUCGUGCAACACCUCAAGUGUGAACCUCGAGGGUGGUCCCUCUUACGUUCACCUUGAUGAUUACAUUGAGUGGAAUCCACCGGGGGUGAUUCCUCGGGUUUUCCCCUUGAUGUCUGGACACACGGUUACCUUGACUUUACUUGAGGCAUUGGUGAAAGUCGGGCGGGCCCGGAGAGCACCCGCAAGAUGGUUACGAGGCACGGCCGGGCCGACAGGCCGUCCCCGAGUGGGCUGGGCUAGCCCUUGCCGUAUUUCCUCGAGACGGGGCGACGGGGUCACAUUAUCGUGAGUCUCUGCUUGUCUCCGCAAGAUAAUAAUACACUAUGGUUUGGGUAUUUGUUCUGAGUUGGCCUUUGGCCUUUACGCACUAACCACCACGCGAGAAUAGUUAUGGGCCUCGACGACGUAGUAUCAGCCGAAGCUUUGUCAGACGUCCAGUUCAGCAUUGUGGCACGAUCGGAUCGUGCUGGCCAUCCGAGGCGGUGCUGGUAUUCACCCUGCGCGCAACGAUCCGGAGUGCAACGGGUGAUGGGCCCAGACCCCGGAGUGCUCAGGAUGUAGACCGGCGGGGACCUCUCUGCUGAGCCUAGGUAGGGCUACGCCGUGUUGAUUUUCCAAGGCCGGGCAUUGACCCAGAAAAGUGUGUCCGGCCAGAGUAAUCAAGCGUGUUGGAAAAUGUGGUGCACCCCUGCAGGAAAGAUUAUCUAUUAAUAGGACGUUCUGACUUAUAUCCUGAUCUUUUACAACUAGAAAUGGAUACUUGAUAUAUGUGGCUUCGGGAUUGCUUUCUCGCGGGGAGUGGAGGAAGGAUCUCUGGGCAUUAAUACUACAACAUGUUUGUUAAAUAUAAACUGCUAUUCUUUACUCUUCUACAUGCUGCAAGGUGCUUGGAGCUGCUUGAAGAUGCUAGUCUUCAAUAGGCUAGGCCUUCCCCUCUAUUCUGGCAUUCUGCAGUUCAGUCCACAGAUACAACCCUUCCAUUUGAUACCAAUGCAUACUUAGUAUAGAUCUGAUGCUUGCGAGUACUUUGGAUGAGUACUCACGGUUGCUUUGCUACCCCCUUUUCCCCUUCCUUCUUCUUUCCGGUUGAUGCAACCAGAUGGUGGAUCCCUGGAGCCAGAUGCCACCGCCGAUGGAUACUGCUACUUGGAGACCGCUGAUGGCCAGGAGUAGUUAGGAGGUCCCAGGCAGGAGGCCUUGCCUCUUCGAUCAUGUUGCUUUUGUGCUAGCCUUCUUAAGGCAUCAUUGUCUAACUUUAUGUCUGUACUCAGAUAAUGUUGCUUCCGCCGACUCUUGUGUAUCGAGCUUGUAUUCGAGCCCUCGAGGCCCCUGGCUUGUAAUAUGAAGCUUGUAUUAUUUUAAUUUGUGUCUAGAGUUGUGUUGUGAUAUCUUCCCGUGAGUCCUUGAUCUUGAUCGUACACAUUUGCGUGUAUGAUUAGUGUACGAUUGAAUCGGGGGCGUCACAUUAUCAUAUUCAUAUUUACAUUUCUUCUAAUCAAAUUUCAUAUAUAACAUGUUCAAAUCGGAGUUACGGUUUAAAAGAUAUGGAUGAUUUAGAAAAACAUUUGUUUGACUUAAAAUAUGAUCCGCGAAUGAAUUAUCUAAAAGGUCAAGGGGGUUUUCAAAAAAUGCAAAAUAACGGUUCGGGUGUGACUUAAAUCCGAACUGCGGGUUGAUUUCUAGAAAACACAGGGGCUUUUGUAUAAAAUGUGAAAAAACGAUUCGUUCUUACUUAAAACAGAACUGCGGGUUGAAUUCUCUGAAAUAGAGGGACUUUUCUGCACAAUGCCAUGAUGGACGACCAGAAACCCAAUUUUCUUUAUUAUUAGGUAAAGAGGUAAAGAUAUUUUCCUGUUUGUCAUUUAUUUAUUUAAUUUAUCUUUUCUAAAUACACAUUUUAUUUUUUUAAUAUGCAUUGAAUAUUAUUCAAAUACACAUUGAACAUUUUCCAAAUACAUCUUGAAUAUGUUUGGUGAAAUUGCAUGCUUUUUUUUUUGAAUAAUUCAUUAAUUUUUCAAAAAGAAUGUAGUGAACAAUUUUCAUAAAUGUCAUAAACAUAUUUUUUGAAUGGUACUAACAUUUUAUAAAGGUCAUGAACAAUUUUAGUAUGUGAUCAAAACCUUGUUAACUACACUAUAUACAUUAUUUUAAAUGCAUGAUAAUUUUUUAGUACAUUGUAAAUAUUUUUAAAUAUGUUAUGAACAUUUAUCAAUAGGUGACAAACAUUUUUGAAUACAUGACACACAUUUUUCAAAUAAACUAUAAUUGUUUUUAACAUACAUGACAAAGAUUUAUAAAUACAGGUCGAACACUUUUUAAUAUGCUAUGAACAUUUUUAAAUGCGCCAUGAUUUUUUUUCAAAAAUUUGGAAAAAAAUUAAUACACAAUGAAACUUAUUGAAAUAGGCAAACAUUUUAUAGAAAUGUGUGAAACACUUUAGAAAUAAAUGGGUUAAAAAUGUAGACACAUUUUUAAAGCACAUUUUUUUUUGAAAAGUCCUCAUGUAUAUCUAAUAUAUAUUCGCAAUUAAAAAUGGAUGACUUUGUAUAUUUCAUUAAAGUUUUAAAAACAAUGUCAUGAGCAAUUUUUAGGUGAAUACCUAAGCAAAAUUUGGUUUUCCCCAAAUCCUUCAUCUCAAAUUCCAUCUUUAGGUGAUUGCGUGCUUCAUCAAUGUCUUGUGUGUUGCCAAUGAUGUUGAGGUCAUCGACGUACACUGAAAUGAUGCAGAAUCUUGUAGAGGACUUUUUGAUAAAGAUACACGGGCAAUCACUACUAUUGGAGUAACCUUUCUGUAGAAGAAACUCACUGAGUCGAUUGUACCACAUCUGUCCCGACUGUCUUAAGCCAUAUAAUGACGUAUUCAGUUUUACACAAUACAUGUUGUGUUUUGCAUUUGUAUUUGAGAUAGAGAUUCCUUCAGGAACCUUCAUAUACAUGUCUGAAUCUAAAGAACCGUAAAGAUAUGCGGUCACGGCAUCCAUCAACUGCAUAGAUAGACGAUUUUGCACUGCCAAAGAUAUAAGAUAUCAGAAAGUGGUUCCACUCAUUACAGGAGAACAUGUCACAUUGAAAUCAAUGUCGGCUCUCUGCGUGAACCCUUGUGCUACGAGCCUUACUUUGUAUCUCACCACCUCAUUGUUCUCAUUCCGUUUCCGGAGAAAAACCCCAUUUGUAUCCCAUAGGGAAAACAUUGGGCGGUGUCGGUAUUGCUUCAGUGAGUACCUUUCUUUUGUCAAGCGACGCAAUUUCUACUUGUAUUGCAUCCUUUCAUUCAGGCCAGUCGAAGCGCUUUUGGCACUCAACGAUUGUCCUUGGAUCAUGAUAAGUGAGAAGGAUAUAUGUAAUUUUUUCAGCAAAAAAAAGUCGAUAGUCGUAGACUUACGAUCGAAAGAUUCUCCAUAAUCGAUAUAGUUGAUGGAAAUUUCCCGCACCCCUAGUGACCCUUCGUGAUUUCCCAAUGCGCCUGAGUCUUGGUGUUCCGAUGGCCCAGCCAGUGUGUGCAAACUGAAGCUGGGUUGUGGAGGUUGCCCUUCCACUAGCUGUAUACUACCCAUAAGGUGUUUGUCAACGUUGAGCUGACUUGCGUUUACUGAUUCCGAGGUUUUUCUCCUCGAUUUCCUUUGUUGCUUGUUGGAAGCUUGUUUCAGGUCAAAGGCCGUACUACUCAUCAUUUUUUAGGAACAGGGAGUUGAGUGUUUUUAUUGGUACCCUCCACUCUAUCGGGCGCAUUUCUGGCCGGAUUUAAGGACUUUGUAACACCUUUUAGAUCAGUAAAUGAAUCUGGCAGGUUAUUUGCAAGAUGUUGCAAAUUAAUGAUUUUUUUUAACUUGGAGUUCGGUCUCUUGUGUACGAAAUGGGUUGAGCAUUCUAAUCAAUUUCCGAGCAUUCUUUCUGGUCUUGAAAUCUCCCUCUAAUGCCGAAAAUUGUUCCUCAUUAAAUAUACAAUCAGCGUGACGGACUGUGAAUAGGUCCCCAGUAUGGGGUUCCGGGUACUUAAUAAUUGACGGUGAUUUGUACCCCACAUAGAUCCCCUAUUUCCUAUCUGGGCCCAUGGAUGUCCGAUGUGGUGGUGAGAUCGAGAUGUAUGCAACACAUCCAAACUUACGCGGAUGGGAAAUGCUGGGAGGAUUUCCACAUACCAAUUGCAGAGGGGAAGUACUGUGAUAUGCAGUAGGCCUCAACUGUAUCAAGUCAGCAGCGUGUAGAACCGCAUGACCCCAACAAGACGUUGGCAAGUUGCAAUUCAUUAACAAAAGUCACGCAAUGAGUUUGAUCCUCUUAAUCAAGGUAAAUACUUCCUGUCUAUAGUCUGAAGGAGCGGCAACGUCAGGUAGCUUGAAUGACGCCGAUUCAUUCCAAAUCUGAUGCUCAAUAUUUUGAUGCGGUUUGUAGAAGGAAAGAACAAAAAAAAUCCCUGAACGAAACCCCCGCAUAAUCCCCUCUCCCUAAUCCCUCGUGACCCCGUCAUCCCUGAUCGCCCGUACCGCCCGAGCACUGCCUCCACAUCGCUCGCCUCGCUCCAGCCUCGUGCCGCCAGAUCCACUCCUCCACCGCUCUCUCAUCACAACUUCACCGGCCAACAACACUCACCGCCGAGCAGCACGACGCCCCCCUAGUCCUCUCCACCGGUGCGAACCCCGGGCGACGUUGCGCCAUCUGGGCAUCAGCAGGUCGAGCACCCCAUCCGCCACGGUGUUUCGUUCACCACCAGGCUCCCCCAUCAAUUGAAUCUGCUACAUCCGGGGUUACACCGGCUGACCGGAGAAUAGGCAUUUGGAUUGCAAAAUGCCGCCCUAUUUGAAGCGCCCCAUAUCCAAACCGAAGGUAUGUGCAGUUCAUCCAUAGCCCCAGAUAUGGGGAUUUGUAAUUUUUGCAAUGAAAUGUUCCGUGUAAUUCAUCCAUCAGCCAGAUUAUAAUUGUUAUUUAUGUUCAUUGCCAGCCUAGUAUUGUUUUCAAAAUCCAUUUGUCUCAAUAUUUCUCAGAGCUUCAAAUCAAUUGACAAAUGGUAUGGAAUUUUUAUUUUGCUUCGUGUAAUGCUUCCAGUAUAGAGAGCUUCAAGUGUAUGUACCCACAAUUCGAUAAAUAUGUAUUGUUUUCAUUUUUCAAAAUUUCAUGCUUCCACCUAAGGCUAAAAUUGCACUCUUUGCAGUUUUUACAGCUUCAUAAAAGAAUGCUUCUACAUUGUUCCCUUUUUGAUAUGCUCGUCUAGAAAAAUGCUUCCAUGCCAUUGUCACCAAUGCAUCCUCAUCAUGACAUCAAGCUUACUAAUGCCAAUCUCAUGUGCCGUAUUAUUGAGUGAAUAUCACGUGCUUCUUACAUUCUUGAUGUCAUCAGUCAAUAAAUAUAUACUUUUAGUUCUAAUGUAUUGCUUCCAUACAACUAAUUCCACGACACAACGAAUCUAUCACUUUAUUCCUUCUAACACAUUUUUUUUCAGAAAUGCUAACACAUUACAUUUCGUAUGUUCUCACGUGACACUCAAAAAUGAGUAAAAAAGAGUCGUCCAUUUAAAAAAAUCCAUGCUUCCAAGUAAUACCACUUAUAUGCCCAUGGCACUAUUUUCAUGCUUCCGGAUGCUUCCUCGGUUUAUAGUGUAUGCUUCAAUUUGUGAAAACAACCUGUUGGAAAGUAGCAAAUUAUUGCUUCUUGUUAAUCAUUAUUCCUUUAUUUUUACCAUAUGCUUCUAAUGUAAACAUGUAGCACCACACCACAACAAUGUUUCGAGGCAUUAAAAUUGUGCACCCAAGUCUUUCCCAGCAAGGAAGUAGGUUUUGGCAAAUCAAAUUUCUAUGCUUUUAGUGCAUGAUGGGAUCAAAUCAUUGAUUUUGUGGUAUCCAUGCCUCAUACAUUUCGAUCUCUCAGUUUUGACAUAUGUUUCUAUGCCGAUUAGGGGGCGCCCAGAGAUCAAGGCUGACUGUGUCUACUUCAUAGAAGACGAGUCGAGUUCGCACACCGAUUGCUAUAACCGAGACGUUUGGGUUGUCGGUGUAUAUAGCCUCAAGGACCUUAUAGUGAAGAAGAUCAAGGCAGUCGGGCAGGGGUACCCCCAACUUCUACCAGCCGACAUCGUGGUUCAUGCCUUUCAUCACAUGAUAGCUACGUCACAUUUGAAUUAGUGUAGUUGGAUGGAUGGAAGUAAUUUGACUUUGCCUGUUGAAUCAUACUCUCAUUUGUGAGUAGCAAUUUUUUUUGUUUCAUGCAAACAAAUCUCUAACUUGUAUGAAACAUGUGUUAUUUAACUAGAAAUAUAUUUGUCUUUGAUCGAAGCAAGAUCAUAUUAGUUGGACGUAAUUCUAUAGUCGAUGUAAAUAAGAUGUGUGAUGCUUCUCAAACAUGUGGUAUAAUUCUCUUUUUUAUGGAAGGAUGUUCAAAGCAAUUCUCUUGUUGAUGGAAGAAAGAUAGUGAUGCUUCUGAACGAAAUACACACAACAUCGACACAAAAUUUGAAAUAAAUCAAAGCUGGUAUAAUUCACUAUAGAAGAAAAAUUUAUAUAAAUGGAAACAUAAAUUUUUUUUUUUGCCGCAAAAGAAGCAAACAUAAAUUAAUUUGUUAAGGAGAAAGAAGACAAGAAAAAACAAAGGUGGAAGCAUGAAUUAGUUACAUGGGAUGCAAUUUCGGAUAACAUCAAUAGCAAGGAAUCUUGCUGCGUAAAUUGUUUCCUAAAAUUAAGGAGCAAUGCACGUAAUUAGGGAUCCAUACCCAUGAUCUAUGGAAACAGUCCUAGGGCCUCGUUUUAAUGGAGGAAGCACACAAUUAUUAGGGAACAAAAUAUCCUCUCGCAUGGGCCAAAGCAGCAAUGGGACGUCCACCUCUAUUUUGAUCCAACAUUGCAUGACUAGUCUGAUGGAUGCACAAUAUGAGUAGUCUGAUGCCUAGUGCUGCCCUUAAUCAAUUUGAUUCAGCCAAACCAUUUUGUGUAUGAACAUAUGAAACAGAGUGCUGAAAUUCAAUCCCCAGGGUCAUUCAAUAAUCAUUGAAAGCACGUGAGGAAAAUUCUGCAGCAUUGUCUAUGCAAAUUAUCUUCAUUCGACUUUCUGGAUAAUAAUGGGCUCGUAACUUAAUGACUUGCCUCAUUAUCUUGGCAAAUGCAUGGUUUCACGUGGAUAGAAGACACGCGUGUGACCAUCGUGUAGAUGAAUCAAUUAAGACCAUGAAAUACUGGAAAGGUCCAAAUAAUGGUUGGAUGGGACCACAAAUGUCUCCUCGAAUACGUUCAAGAAACUGAAGUGGUUCAGCUUGUAUUUUGAGGUGAGAGGGCCUCAAAAUUAGCUUUCCUGUGGCACAAGAUGCGCACACAAAGUCUGAAGAAUGAGGAAAUUUUGACUCAAGCAAAUUAUGACCAAUGGAAUUGCUAGUAAUUUUUCUUAUCAUCCCGAUCCUGGGAUGGCCUAGGCGAUCAUGCCAGGUUUGAAAUGAGUCAACAUUUCAAAAAAUUACUUUGUAUGCAACAUGUUAUAUGGGUUUGAUGUAGGUAUAGUACAAACCGGACGACAGAGAAGGAAUUUUUUCAUGUACCUGCUUGCCAUAUCCGUGAUUUUUGGUGAAGAGUAGAUACUCCUCUUUGUUGUCUUCAUGGGGUUCAAUGUGAAAGCCAUUUUUACGGAUAUAUUGAUAACUGAUCAGGGUACGUGAUGAGUCGAGAUACAACAAAGCAUCCUCAAUUGUCACUUGUGUACCACCUGGGAGGGUAAAUAAGGCACGUCUAGUGCCAACGACUACCGUAUCGCGUCCAGCGAUAGUUAUAAUAUCUCCAUUCAUCUUUUUCAGAGUUUGAAAAUAUUUCAUCCCCCUUAGUAUGGAGUUUGUGGUUGCACUAUCCACGAGGCAUAAUUCCUCUUCCAUCCAACCGUCACCGUAGAGAACGUCGACGAGUGAACUUCUCUCUGUCUCUUCUGCUCUUUGUAGAAACUAUCUGCUGAUAACAUGUUUAAGUGAAAGAUCAACUUGUAUUGGUUGAUAGAAACAGUACACCUUAUAUAUGUUUGGAAAAGAUGCAUCACACAAAACGAGAUGGUUGGAACCGAUGCAACGAUUAGAAUAGAGGGGAAAGAGAGAUGCGUCGGUUGCUACAAGGCAACUGCACGCUGCACGACAAGGGAAGAUUUGAAGGAAAUAUGCCCUAGAGGCAAUAAUAAAGAUGUUAUUUAUAUUUCCUUAUAUCAUGAUAAAUGUUUAUUAUUCAUGCUAAAAUUGUAUUAAGCGGAAACUUGAUACAUGUGUGAAUACAUAGACAAAAUAGAGUGUACCUACUAUGCCUCUACUUGACUAGAUCGUUAACCAAAGAUGGUUAAGUUUCCUAACCAUAGACAUGUGUUGUCAUUUGAUGAACGGGAUCACAUCAUAAAAGAAUGAUGUGAUGGACAAGACCCAUCCGUUAGCUUAGCAUUAUGGUCGUUUAGUUUUAUUGCUAUUGCUUUCUUUAUGACUUACACAUAUUCCUCUAACUAUGAGAUUAUCCAACUCCCGAAUGCCAGAGGAACACCUUGUGUGCUAUCAAACGUCACAACGUAACUGGGUGAUUAUAAAGAUGCUCUAAAGGUGUCUCCGAAGGUGUUUGUUGGUUGGCAUAGAUCAAGAUUAGGAUUUGUCACUCCGUGUAUCGGAGAGGUAUCUCUGGCCCUCUCGGUAAUGCACAUCACAAUAAGCCUUGUAAGCAAUGUGACUAAUGAGUUAGUUACGGGAUGAUACAUUACGGAACAAGUAAAGAGAAUUGCCGGUAACGAGAUUGAACUAGGUAUGAUGAUACCGACGAUCGAAUCUCGGGCAAGUAACAUACCGAUGACAAAGGGAACAACAUAUGUUGUUAUGCUGUUUGACCGAUAAAGAUCUUCGUAGAAUAUGUAGGAGCCAAUAUGAGCAUCCAGGUUCCGCUAUUGGUUAUUGACCGGAGAUGUGUCUCGGUCAUGUAUACAUAGUUCUCGAACCCGUAGGGUCCGCACGCUUAACGUUCAAUGACGAUUUGUAUUAUGAGUUAUGUGUUUUGGUGACCGAAGUUUGUUCGGAGUCCCAGAUGAGAUCACGGACAUGACGAGGAGUCUCGAAAUGGUCGAGAGGUAAAGAUUGAUAUAUUGGAAGGUUAUAUACGGACACCGGAAUGGUUCUGAUAAGGUUCGGGGAUUUUUCGGAGUACCGGGAGGCUACCGGAACCCCCCGGGAAAGUUAUUGGGCCUAUUCGGCCAUAGUGGAGGAGAGGAGGCAGGCCACGGAGGUGGCGCGCGCGCCCCUUGCCCCAAUCCAAAUUGGACAAGGGAAGGGGGUGCGGCCCCCCUCUAUCCUUUUCCCUCUCUCUCCCUUCCCCUUUCCCUCUCCGUUGGAAGGAAGGAGGGGGGGGGGCGAAUCCUACUUGGAUUGGGAGUCCAAGUAGGACUCCCCCUUGGCGCGCCCUCCUUGGCCGCCGACCUCCUCCUCCCCCUCCUUUAUAUACGUGGCCAGGGGGCACCCUAAAGGACAACAAUUGUUUCUUAGCCGUGUGCGGUGCCCCCUUGCAUAGUUUACCACCUCGGUCAUAUUGUCGUAGUGCUUAGGCGAAGCCCUGCGCGGAUCACAUCACCAACACCUUCGCCACACCGUCGUGCUGACGGAACUCUCCCUCGAACCUCUACUGGAUCAAGAGCUCGAGGGACGUCAUCGUGCUGAACGUGGGCUGAACACGGAGGUGCCGUACGUUCGGUACUUGGAUCGGUUGCAUCGUGAAGACGUUCGACUACAUCAACCGCGUUACUAAACGCUUCCGCUUUCGGUCUACGAGGGUACGUGGACACACUCUCCCCGCUCAUUGCUAUGCUUCUCCUAGAUAGAUCUUGCGUGAUCGUAGAAUUUUUUUUGAAUUACUAUGUUCCCCAACAGUGGCAUCCGAGCCAUGUCUAUGCGUAGAUGAUAUGCACAAGUAGAACACAAAGAGUUGUGGGCGAUAAUAGGCAUACUGCUUACCACCAACGUCUUACUUUGACUCGGCGGUAUUGUUGGAUGAAGCGGCCCAGACCGACAUUACAUGACCGCGUUCAUGAGACUGCUUCAACCGACAUGCUUCGCACACAGGUGGCUAGCGGGUGUCCAUUUCUCUAACUUUAGUUGAAUCGAGUUUGACUACGGCCGGUCCUUGUUGAAGGUUAAAACAACACACUUGACGAAAAAUCAUUGUCAUUUUGAUGCGUAGGUAAGAACGGUUCUUGCUAGAAGCCCGUAGCAGCCACGUAAAACUUGAAACAACAAAGUAGAGGACGUCUAACUUGUUUUUGCAGGGCAUGUUGUGAUGUGAUAUGGUCAAGACGUGAUGAGAUAUAAAUUGUUGUAUGAGAUGAUCAUGUUUUGUAUAAGUUAUCGGCAACUGGCAGGAGCCUUAUGGUUGUCGCUUUAUUGUAUGAAAUGCAAUCGCCAUGUAAUUGCUUUACUUUAUCACUAAGCGGUAGCGAUAGUCGUAGAAGCAAUAGUUGGCGAGACGACAACGAUGCUAUGAUGGAGAUCAAGGUGUCAAGCCGGUGACGAUGGAGAUCAUGACGGUGCUUUGGAGAUGGAGAUCAAAGACACAAGAUGAUGAUGGCCGAUUGCAUGUGAUGUUUAUCCUUUAUGCAUCUUAUUUUGCUUAGUACGGCGGUAGCAUUAUAAGAUGAACCCUCACUAAAUUUCAAGGUACAAGUGUUCUCCCUGAGUAUGCACCGUUGCGACAGUUCAUCGUGCCGAGACACCAUGUGAUGAUUGGGUGUGAUAAGCUCUACAUUCACAUACAACGGGUGCAAGCCAGUUUUGCACAUGUAGAAUACUCGGGUUAAACUUGACGAGCCUAGCAUAUGCAGAUAUGGCCUCGGAACAUUGAGACCGAAAGGUCAAACGUGAAUCAUAUAGCAGAUAUGAUCAACAUAGAGAUGUUCACCAUUGAAAACUACUCCAUCUCACGUGAUGAUCGGACAUGGUUUAGUUGAUAUGGACCACGUGAUCAUUUAGAUGACUAGAGGGAUGUCUAUCUAAGUGGGAGUUCUUAAGUAAUAUGAAUAAUUGAACUUUAAUUUAUCAUGAACUUAGUCCUGAUAGUAUUUGCAUAUCUAUGUUCUAGAUCAAUAGCUUGUGAUGUAGCUCCCCGUUUAUUUUUGAUAUGUUCCUAGAGAAAAAUAAGUUGAAAGAUGACAGUAGCAAUGAUGCGGACUGGGUCUGUGAUCUGAGGAUUAUCCUCAUUGCUGCACAGAAUAAUUAUGUCCUUGAUGCACCGCUUGGUGACGGACCUAUUGCAGGAGCAGAUGCAUACAUUAUGAACGUUUGGCAAGCUCGGUAUGGUGACUACUUGAUAGUUUAGUGCGCCAUGCUUUAUGGCUUAGAACCGGGACUUCAAAAAUGUUUUGAAAUGCCACAGAGCAUAUAAGAUGUUCCAAGAGCUGAAAUUGGUAUUUCAGACUCAUGCCCGAGUCGAGAAGUAGGAGACCUCUGACAAGUACUUUGCCUACAAGAUGGAGGAGAAUAACUCAAGCAGUGAGCAUGUGCUCAGAAUGUCUAAGUACUAUAACCGCUUGAAUCAAGUGGGAGUAAAUCUUCCAGAUAAGAUAGUGAUUGACAGAGUUCUCUAGUCACUAUUACCAAGUUACUGGAACUUCGUGAUGAACUAUAAUAUGCAAGGGAUGACGAAAACGAUUCCCGAGCUCUUCGUGAUGCUAAAAUCGACGAAGGUAGAAAUCAAGAAAGAGCAUCAAGUGUUGAUGGUUAACAAGACCACUAGUUUCAAUAAAAGGGGCGAAGGAAAAGAAAGGAAACCUCAAGAAGAAUGGCAAGCAAGUUGCCACUCCCGUGAAGAAGCCCAAAGUUGAAACCAAGCCUAAAACUGAGUGCUUCUACUACAAAGGAUAUGGUCGCUGGAAGCGGAAAUACCCCAAAUACUUGGCGGAUAAGAAGGAUGGCAAAGUGAACAAAGGCAUAUGUGGUAUACAUGUUAUUGAUGUGUACUUUACUUGUGUUCAUAGUAACCCCUGGGUAUUUGAUAUCGGUUCAGCUGCUAAGAUUAGUAACUCAAAACAAGAGUUGUAGAAUGAACAGAGACUAGUUAUGGGCGAAGUGACGAUGUAUGUUGGAAGUGAUUCCAAGGUUGAUACGAUCACCAUCACACACUCCCUCUACCUUCAGGAUUAGUGUUGAACCUAAAUAAAUGUCAUUUGGCGUUUGCGUUGAGCAUGAAUAUGAUUAGAUCAUGUUUAUUGCAAUGCGGUUAUUCAUUUAAUUCAGAGAAUAAUUGUUAUUCUGUUUACAUGAAUAAAACCUUCAAUGGUCAUACACCCAAUAUGAAUGGUUUAUUGAAUCCCGAUCGUAGUGAUACACAUAUUCAUAAUAUUGAUACCAAAAGAUGCAAAGUUGGUAAUGAUAGUGCAACAUAUUUGUGGCACUGCCGUUUAGGUUAUAUUGGUGUAAAGCGCAUGAAGAAACUCCAUAUGGAUGGAUUUUUGGAAUCACUUGAUUAUGAAUCAUUUGACACUUGCGAACCAUGCCUCUUUGGCAAGAUGACUAAAACUCCAUUCUUCGGAACAAUGGAGCGAGCCAAUGACUUACUGGAAAUAAUACAUAACGAUGUAUGUGGUCCGAUGAGUGUUGAGGCUCACGGCGGGUAUCGUUAUUUUCUGACCUUCACAGAUUCUUAAUGAAACAUAAGUCUGAAACAUUUGAAAAGUUCAAAGAAUUUCAGAGUAAAGUGGAGAAUCAUCAUAACAAGAAAAUAAAGUUUCUACGAACCUGAUCGCGGAGGCGAAUAUUUGAGUUACGAGUUUGGCCUUCAAUUAGAACAAUGUGGAAUAGUUUCACAACUCACGCCACCUGGAACACCACAGCGUAAUGGUGUGUCCGAACGUUGUAACCGUACUUUAUUAGAUAUGGUGCGAUCUAUGAUGUCUCUUACCGAUUUACCACUAUCGUUUUGGAGUUAUGCAUUAGAGACAGCUCCAUUCACGUUACAUAGGGCACCAUCUAAAUCCAUUGAGACGACACCGUGUGAACUGUGGUUUGGCAAUAAACCUAAGCUGUCGUUUCUUAAAGUUUGGGCCUGCGAUGCUUAUGUGAAAAAUCUUCAACCUGAUAAGCUCGAACCCAAAUCGAAGAAAUGCGUCUUUAUAGGAUACCCAAAGGAAACAGUCGGGUACACCUUCUAUCACAGAUCCGAAGGCAAGAUAUUUGUUGCUAAGAAUUGAUCCUUUCUAGAGAAGGAGUUUCUCUUGAAAGAAGUGAGUGGGAGGAAAGUAGAACUUGAUAAGGUAAUUGUACCUUCUCCCGAAUUGGAAAGUAGUUCAUCACAGAAAUCAGUUCCAGUGAUUCCUACACCAAUUAGUGAGGAAGCUAUUGAUGAUGAUCAUGAAACUUCAGAUCAAGUUACUACCGAACCUCGUAGGUCAACCAGAGUACGGUCCGCACCAGAGUGGUACGGUAAUUGAAGGAAAUAUGCCCUAGAGGCAAUGAUAAAGUUAUUAUUUAUUUUCUUAUUUCAUGAUAAAUGUUUAUUAUUCAUGCUAGAAUUGUAUUAACCGGAAACAUAAUACAUGUGUGAGUACAUAGACAAACAGAGUGUCACUAGUAUGCCUCUACUUGACUAGCUCGUUGAUCAAAGAUGGUUAUGUUUCCUAGCCAUAGACAUGAGUUGUCAUUUGAUUAAUGGGGUCACAUCAUUAGGAGAAUGAUGUAAUUGACUUGACUCAUUCCGUUAGCUUAACACUUGAUCGUUUAGUAUGUUGCUAUUGCUUUCUUCAUGACUUAUACAUGUUCCUAUGACUAUGAGAUUAUGCAACUCCCGUUUACCGGAGGAACACUUUUUGUGCUACCAAACGUCACAACGUAACUGGGUGAUUAUAAAGGUGCUCUACAGGUGUCUCCGAAGGUACUUGUUGGGUUGGCGUAUUUCGAGAUUAGGAUUUGUCACUCCGAUUGUCGGAGAGGUAUCUCCGGGCCCUCUCGGUAAUACACAUCACUAUAAACCUUGCAAGCAUUGUGACUAAUGAGUUAGUUGCGAGAUGAUGUAUUACGGAGCGAGUAAAGAGACUUGCCGGUAACGAGAUUGAACUAGGUAUUGAGAUACCGACGAUCAAAUCUCGGACAAGUCACAUACCGAUGACAAAGGGAACAACGUAUGUUGUUAUGCGGUUUGACCGAUAAAGAUCUUCGUAGAAUAUGUAGGAGCCAAUAUGAGCAUCCAGGUUCCGCUAUUGGUUAUUCACCGGAGACGUGUCUCGGUCAUGUCUACAUAGUUCUCGAACCCGUAGGGUCCGCACGCGUUUAUGUGUUUUGAUGUACCGAAGGAGUUCGGAGUCCCGGAUGAGAUCGGGGACAUGACGAGGAGUCUCAAAAUGGUCGAGACGUAAAGAUCGAUAUAUUGGACGACUAUAGUUGGACAUCGGGAAGGUUCCGAGUGAUUCGGGUAUUUUCGGAGUACCGGGGAGUUACGGGAUUUCACCGGGAGAAGUAUUGGGCCUUAUUGGGCCAUACGGGAAUAGAGGAGAGAGGACAAAAGGAAGGAGGAGCGCGCCCCCCUCUGGACCGAAUUGGACAAGGGGUGCAGCCCCCUUUUCCUUCUCCCUCUCCCCCUCUUUCCUUCUCUCCUACUCCGGAAAGGAAAGGGGAAUCCUACUAGAACUUGGGAGUCCUAGUAGGACUCCCCACACUUGGCGCGCCCCCUCUAGGGCCGGCUUCUCCCUCCCUCCUUUAUAUACGGGGGCAGGGGGCACCUCUAGACACAACAAUUGAUCUCUUGAUCUCCUAGCCGUGUGCGGUGCCCCCCUCCACCAUAUUCCACCUCGAUCAUAUCGUAGCGGUGCUUAGGCGAAGCCCUGCGUCGGUAGCAACAUCAUCACUGUCAUCACGCCGUCGUGCUGACGGAACUCACCCGUGAAGCUCUGCUGGAUCGGAGUUCGCGGGACGUCAUCGAGCUGAACGUGUGUUGAACUCGGAGGUGCCGUGCGUUCGGUACUUGGAUCGGUCGGAUCGUGAAGACGUACUACAUCAACCGCGUUGUGCUAACGCUUCCGCUUUCGGUCUACGAGGGUACGUGGACACACUCUCCCCUCUCGUUGCUAUGCAUCACCAUGAUCCUGUGUGUGCGUAGGAAUAUUUUUGAAAUUACUACGUUCCCCAACAGUAAUCCUGUUCUGGAAGUCAUGUUACUAGACUAUGACGAAUCUACGAACUAUGAGGAAGCGAUGAUGAGCCCAGAUUCCGCGAAAUGACUUGAGGCCAUGAAAUCUGAGAUGGGAUCCAUGUAUGAGAACAAAGUAUGGACUUUGGUUGACUUGCCCGAUGAUCGGCAAGCCAUUGAGAAUAAAUGGAUCUUUAAGAGAAAGACGGACGUUGAUAGUAGUAUUACUAUCUACAAAACUUGAAUUGUCGAAAAAGGUUUUCGACAAGUUCAAGAUGUUGACUAUGAUGAGAUUUUCGCACUCGCAUCGAUGCUUAAAGUCUGUCCGAAUCAUGUUAGCAAUUGCCGCAUUUUAUGAAAUCUGGCAAAUGGAUGUCAAGACUACAUUCCUUAAUAGAUUUAUUAAAAAAGAGUUGUAUAUGAUGCAACCAGAAAGUUUUCUCAAUCCUAAAAGGUGCUAACAAAGUGUGCAAGCUCCAGCGAUCCAUCUAUGGACUGGUGCAAGCAUCUCGGAGUUGGAAUAUACGCUUUGAUGAGUUGAUCAAAGCGUAUAGUUUUAUACAGACUUGCGUUGAAGCCUGUAUUUACAAGAAAGUGAGUGGGAGCACUACAGCCUUUCUGAUAAGUAUAUGUGAAUGACAUAUUGUUGAUCGGAAAUGAUGUAGAAUUUUCUGGAAAGCAUAAAGGAGUGUUUGAAAGGAGUUUUUCAAAGAAAGACCUCAGUGAAGGUGCUUACAUAUUGGGCAUCAAGAUCCAUAAAGAUAGAUCAAGACGCUUGAUAAGUUUUUUCAAUGAAUACAUACCUUGACAAGAGUUUGAAGUAGUUCAAAAUGGAACAUUCAAAGAAGAAGUUCUUGCCCGUGUUGCAAGGUGUGAAAUUGAGUAAAGACUCAAAACCCGACCACGGCAAAAAAUAGAAAGAGAAUGAAAAGUCAUUCCCUAUGCCUCAGUCAUAGGUUCUAUAAAGUAUGCUAUACUGUGUACCAGACCUAUUGUGUACCUCACCAUGAGUUUGGCAAUAGGUUACAAUAGCGGUACAGGAGUGGAUCACAGGACAACGGUCAAAAUUAUCCUUAGUGGAAUAAGGAUAUGUUUCUUGGUUAUGGAGGUGACAAAAAGUUCAUCGUAAAGAGUUACGUCGAUGCAAGCUUUGACACUGAUCCGGAUGACUCUAAGUCUCAAUGUGGAUAUAUAUAUAUAUAUAUUGAAAGUGGGAGCAAUUAGCUAGAGUAGCUCCGUACAGAGCAUUGUAGACAUAGAAAUUUGCAAAAUACAUACGGAUCUGAAUGUGGCAGACCCGUUGACUAAACUUCUCUCACAAUCAAAACAUGAUCACACCUUAAUACUCUUUGGGUAUUAAUCACAUGGCGAUGUGAACUAGAUUAUUGACUCUAGUAAACCCUUUGGGUAUUGGUCACAUGACGAUGUGAACUAUAGAGUGUUAAAUCACAUGACGAUAUGAACUAUUGGUGUUAAAUCAUAUGGCGAUGUGAACUAGAUUAUUGACUCUAGUGCAAGUGGGAGACUGAAGAAAAUAUGCCCUAGAGGCAAUAAUAAAGAUGUUAUUUAUAUUUCCUUAUAUCAUGAUAAAUGUUUAUUAUUCAUGCUAAAAUUGUAUUAAGCGGAAAUUUGAUACAUGUGUGAAUACACUACAAGAGAUCGGACCUACUAUGACGAGCUCAAAAAUGUCAAGUAAUAGCUAAAGACGUCACAAAAUACUCACGUGUGACAUUUUUCAGGCAUCACGAGCAUCGUCACGGAAUCCCCAUCACAGAUUAUAUCUAGUGACGCAGCGCGCAAAAAAUGUCAUCGGGUAUGGGACCUUCGGUGACGAAGCUGUCGUCACAAGACUAUUGACGGGCUAAUGCGCAGUGGGUUUCAAAAUGGGCCAAGCCCAACAAUUUAGCGAUUUUUCUAUUUUUGGAUCUAAUUGUUUGGUGGGCCAUAGCCAAUUUGCAACCCAUUAGUUGUUGAUCCAACCCACCUCUUUAUGGAGAGAUCACCAUUUUCUGCUAGCCUUUUCAAGAAUUACAUUAAUUAUAGUUUUUCCUCUCAUAUUAGUUUGGCCUGGUCCGAUUCAAAGCCAAUUGGGCUUGUGGUUUUUUUAAGACCAUCUUUUCAUUGAUCAAUUUCCACAUCACAUUACAAGCUAACUUGUAUCGAAAUAAUGUGUACACUAAACACUUACAUGCACCAUCCAACAUAACCCAAGCUACAUAAUCGUUUGAUACAACAUAUUUUUUAGAACAUUUGGAGGUCAUCAAUAUAGACCUUCUUGGUGUGAGUCUUAGCUCCCACCUUAAUCAAAACCUGAAACCUUGUUGGAUGCUUCUUCUCGUGACUUCAUGAAGGCAGAUAGAGUUGUUUUGAUCCUCCUUUGUCCAUAUCAACUUCUUGAAAGAUGACUUACGAAUCAACCUAUUAGAAACAAAGACAUAAAUACAACAGCAUGAAUGAGUUAGAAAAAACCAUCGACCAUUGCAACAGAGAACAACAUGAAAGUUAUAACUGGGAGCUCUAGGUUGGAAUCUUAACAGAAAAAGACAUGAUAGUACUUGUCUAAUAAGUGAUAUGAACAGAACUAAACAUGUCGUAUUUGUGAGCAACAAAGGUCAUCUGAAAUAUUAAAUUGGAAUUAAAAUGGUGCAGAAAAACAAAAUAAUCGACAAAGCUACUAAGGAAGAAACCUUGAAGCAGCUAGAAUAGUGAAGAAAGCAUGAAGAAGUUUCGCAGAGCUUCGUUGUUGUCCUUGGCACACAUUUGAUCAAUAAAAUACUUCCAUUUGAAAAUAAAUUACUAACAAUUGUGCGAUGAUCGCAGGCCGAAUAAAAAGCUCGUCUAGGUUUUGAUCUUCAGUUGUAGUAUCUGCUUGCUUGGAUAGUAAUCUGCAUUAACAUAUAGUCAGUGUCACUUCUGAUUGCCACAAACAAGUGCAGGGAAUUAGUUCUCCAUUAGCAAUUUACCAAAAUCAUGUUGAAUUGCUCAUAAAAUUCCAACGGCAGUUCUACAACAAAAAUUCACUUGCAAAUCUAUUCACACACCCUCAAACCGAGUUGCCAUGUGCUCAGAACUACAAAAUAACAUAACAAUACUGGGGGAGCAUCGGCAUAAUGAAUUUUUUUAUUGCAGCUCACUAUUUCAUUACUAAACCAUGUCACAUGUACUAGUUAGGUUCUAAUAAUAAUUUCUCUAAAAGAUAAAUCAGAGCAGGUACAAUUCAGUUUACAAUUUUCAACUUAAUGGCACGUAUAAACUAGUUCCAUGAGUUCAAGAUUACUGGCACAAACAAGGACUAUCUGACUUAGCAAAUACUGCGGGUGUACUAUAACGAUUGACCAAUAAAAAAUCACUAACAAGAAUAGAACAAAACUAAUAUCUGAACCAAUGCCCGCACGGAAGCGAUUCAUCUAAAUUGAGAGCAGAGAGUUGAGCGUCGAACACAUGUUAACCCAAUUUGUUGGUCGAGCUUGACGGUCCUCCAGUUGAACUCCGGCGUGCCCCUGUGGUCUGUGCUCUGUCAAUAUAUGACGGACAAAACACAGGAAGAAGAAAAAACAGAGGGUCAAUAAGAAGUACGGAUAAGUGCAAAAGAUCGGACGACUACGACCCUACUCAUUAGUUAAUCUCUGACGAAGGCGACGAGGCGGGUGUCAUAGGCGAAACAGGGGUUCUGCUCAAGGAGGCCAUAGCCAAUUCCCACAUCUCCCUCGUUUGCUCCGAUAGAAUUGACAAUUGAGAAGUGUAUGGACGAGUUGCACCACAAAGUGAGAGUUCAGUCCCUGCAAUCACACGAGAGGGAUCGGAGGACGCACGCAUGCAGGUACUCACACUGAGAACGAACGUCAGGCACACAGGCUGGGCUACCACCGCGUGACCAGGCUGGUCCGGCCGCGGCGCACGCUGGGUCCACCGCUGCGCGCCAUGGAGGGCCCUGACACCACUAGCAGCUUCCGCAGCUAUACGUGGGCUGAAGCCAGCUCAACUUAUACCCUGAAAAAAGGCCAGCUCAACAACACAUAUAACCAGCGAUUUUUUUACCUCGCCCACAUUCUCCUCCCCGAGCGAAACCUACCUAUCCGAUCUCGUUUUCUUUCGCUCCUGUGGUGGCGGCGGUAGAUCGGGGGCAACCAAACGUGACGACGGCGGUAAGAGUAGCUGCUCGCUCCUCUCUCUCCCGUCGGGUUCCUUGAGGGCACCGUAGAAAAAUUUAAAGAAAGGGCUUGCCAGGCCAUUGGCUGUGCUGCGUCCGUAACAGCCGCUAGCCACCACUAAAAAACAAAAGUUAACAGCCGCCAGCCGGAACCGAGCCGUGCGGCCGUGUCGUGCCUUGCCUUUCCUCACCCCGCCGCGACGUGACACCGGCUAGAACCCAUGACAGACGAACAGAUAGAUCACAUACGAAGUACUUUACGAGCAAAACGAGUAGCAGCAGUAGUAUCUUUGAGUAUUAGAAGUCGGAUGACCGUGAUUAGCGCUAACCCCCGCGAGGGGGCGACCGGCAGGCGAUCGCAGAGUGAUUCAGAUCCUGACGUGCCGUCGGCAAGAAUCUCGAUUGAGAGGAAGGAGAAGGAGAGAUUUGAUGGUCGUAUCGAUGUGGGCAGAAGGGAUGACCCUUUCGGGCUCCGGGAUUCCUGGAUCAAAACAAGGACAGCAGUGCAGAAACUGGCAGCGAGGAAACUUCAAGAGGAGAGGGAAAGAGAAAGAUUGGAUCUAGAGAGGGUAAUCUGUAAGGAUGGAAGCUUAUCAAGGAUCAAAUCACGUCUGAGGGCGAUGAGAGAGGAUAUCGAUCGGUUAUUGGGGGAAGGAGAUCAGGAAAGACAGGGCGGAGUGCGGAUACUCCCACAAACCAGAGAUCCGCCAGACAAGCAUGUGGGAAGGGUACCGAUUCUGAUGGAUACCGAGAAGGAUAAUCUGGAAGAUUACGGGCAGAAACAAGCCUCGGUGACAGAUUCGGGGGGAUCGGAUUGGCAAGGGGCAGCUUUAAAAGAGGCAGAAAUGUUCACAAGAUCCACACAGAACUCUGCAUCCACCCUCACCCUAGAAUAGUGCAACACCAUGGCGAACCAGGGAGACCAGAAGAACAACGACGUGAUGCAUCCGAUGGAAGAUGUGGCCUCGAGCGGGGAAGGNNNNNNNNNNNNNNNNNNNNNNNNNNNNNNNNNNNNNNNNNNNNNNNNNNNNNNNNNNNNNNNNNNNNNNNNNNNNNNNNNNNNNNNNNNNNNNNNNNNNNNNNNNNNNNNNNNNNNNNNNNNNNNNNNNNNNNNNNNNNNNNNNNNNNNNNNNNNNNNNNNNNNNNNNNNNNNNNNNNNNNNNNNNNNNNNNNNNNNNNNNNNNNNNNNNNNNNNNNNNNNNNNNNNNNNNNNNNNNNNNNNNNNNNNNNNNNNNNNNNNNNNNNNNNNNNNNNNNNNNNNNNNNNNNNNNNNNNNNNNNNNNNNNNNNNNNNNNNNNNNNNNNNNNNNNNNNNNNNNNNNNNNNNNNNNNNNNNNNNNNNNNNNNNNNNNNNNNNNNNNNNNNNNNNNNNNNNNNNNNNNNNNNNNNNNNNNNNNNNNNNNNNNNNNNNNGGCACAGAAACUACUCAGGGGGGAGACCUCCAGAACCAAGGAGUCGGAUGUGGUGAUCCUGGACCUAUCCAAGGAGAGGGUGGCCAUGAACACAAGGUGGCUCGCCGUCGGGCUCUUCUUCUCGCUGCAGGCCUUCAACACCGAAGGGCUGUUCCGCGAGCUCCGGGACAAGUGGGGGCUGCGGGGGAGGCUCUCCUACACUCAACUGAAGAACAAUCGCUACCUUCUCGAGUUCGAGCGAGAGGGGGACAGGCGGUUCAUCAUCAACAACGGCCCCUGGACCCAUAAGGGAGAUGCCUUCCUGCUUGUUACAGCGGAUGUGAGCACACCGCCGGGGGACGUUGAGAUCGCCCAUAUGCCCAUCUGGGCACAGAUAUACGAUGUUCCCCCCAUCAUGUUGUCAGAAGAGGUCGGAUGGAAGCUCGGUGGAAAGCUUGGUGAGGUGAUAGAGGUGGACGCGGACAAGUAUUGUAAGAUAUGGGGAGAGUUCAUCAGGGUUAGAAUCAAGCAUGAUGUAGAUGAGCCUCUGUCGCGUGAUAUUAAAACUAGGGAACUAGAGAAGAUAGAUGGUGAAAAAGAGAGUGAGCUUCACAUAUUAGAAGUCAAGUAUGAGAGGGUCCCUAGAUUUUGUAUGUAUUGUGGAAGGAUCGGGCAUGGCCAACGUGAUUGUAAGCUCCCAGAGGACCUCCGACAGAUGAGGUACACGACAGCGAUACGCGGCUCCCCGUUUAGAAAGAAGAACAGUAGGUCUGGGUAUGUAGAUGCAGGGAGUGCUCGCCGUUUUAUUCAGUUUGGAGCAGAGGUGUAUGGGGCACCCAAGUCUGCACCUGCCCUCCAGAUGGCGGCAAGGAAGCAGUAUGAGGGGAUCCCGGAAGACGUGCUCUCCAAUCCCCUGGUACAGGCAGCGAUUGAGGCGGUCAGCGCGCUUAAGGUGGGAAACGGUUGUGGCGCCACCAGUCUGCUGACAAAGCCGGCCGUGGAGAGGCCUUCUGAGGACGUGGCUGCUGCAGGCAAUGAAAAGGAGCAAGAGCAAGCUGCACACAUGACACUGACACUGCUGGAAGGACAAGAAAUCAAGGGCAGAGAGAUGAGUAAUAACAUCAAAACCCCGCUCCACCUGACAUCUACAGAGCACAAUGUCCCCAAGGCACUGAAACAGGACAAUCAGGAGCUGAGCUUCCCUCCAGGAUUUGAGCCAGACCCCAUCCUCGCCGAGGGUGGACCUGAGGAGGCUGUAAAAGCCACUGAAUCUGCUGCUGUUGGGACUGACAGGGUUGUUGCUAAAGCGGUGGCGAUCAGCCAUGGUGCAGGGAACAGGAAGAAAGGAGCUAGCAAGAGGAUCAAGAAAUGUACUGAGGACAAGCACAUCUCGGUGCUGGGUAAACGUGGGGACCGUGCAGAAGAGGGAACAGGGGAACCUGACACAGAAGAAGCAGGUGAGGGCUCGGAUCAGACCAAGAAGAAGAGAGGUGGAGUCUUAGCAAAUGGAAACUAUGAUGCAGGUGGGAAUGGUGGACAUGAAGCUACUGGCCCCGGGGCUGCCAGUCAACUUGUGGGUGCUAAUGAUGGCGCCCACAAGGAGCCAUGACUAUCUUGAGCUGGAACUGUCGGGGCCUCGGGCAGCCCCGAACAGUUCAAGAGCUAGUGUGCCUCGUGCACAAAUUCAGGCCCAAGUUAGUUUUCCUAUCCGAGACGCGGCAGAGCAAUGCAUACGUCAAUAAAAUGAGGUGGAGGCUAGGCCUCAAACACUGUAUCAUGCACGCCGGCACUGGUAAAGGUGCGGGCAUCGCAUUGUUCUAUGAUGAGAGUAUUGAAAUAAAAGAGCUUGCUGUUGGACCGAGGUAUAUAGAUGUGUUGAUACGUUUAAACCCACACGCCCCACAAUGGAGGGGUACCUUUGUUUAUGGGGAACCGGAGAGUAAUGAAAGACAUCACAUGUGGGAUCUAUUGAGAAGAAUAACACCGAAUGCAACUGAACCAUGGCUGGUAAUUGGCGAUUUUAAUGAAACCAUGUGGCAAAGUGAGCACUUCUCAAGAGCAAAACGGUCUGAAAGUAACAUGGCAAGUUUCCGCAAAGUGUUGGCUGAUUGUAAUCUGCAUGACCUUGGAUACAAGGGUACUGAAUGGACAUACAACAAUAAGCAAAUGGGGUAUAAGAAUGUUAAAGCUUAUUUAGAUAGAGGGGUCGCAAGCCCAGAAUGGAGCAAUUUGUUCAAAGAAGCCAAUGUUGAACACUUGGUUUCAGCUAGGUCUGAUCAUGUUCCAGUGCUGUUGCGAGUUGGGAAGAGGAAAGAGUGGAGGCCAGUAAAGAAAAACUUCAGAUAUGAAGCCAUGUGGGAGAGGGUAGAAACACUUGCAGAUACUAUAAACGACGCAUGGAACAGCUCGAGCCGGAUUGGCUCUCUGGAAGGAGUAGCAUCAAAAUUACAGUGUAUGCAAGGGGCGCUGCAUAAGUGGGCCUUGAGGGACUUCUGCUCCAUCCAGAAUAAGAUCUGCAACCUUCGAAAAAGAUUGAAACGCCUCUGGUUUGCUAGUCCUUCAACCGAGACAGAAAUUUUAAUUAAACAAACUGAGAAGGAACUAGAUGAAAUGCUGCUGCGUGAAGAACUGAUGUGGAGGCAACGAUCAUGCGCGACUUGGUUGAAAGAAGGAGACAAAAACACCAAUUUUUUCCACCGCAAGGCUACUUGGAGGAGGAAGAAAAUAAAAUUACCAGGCUCCAGAAAUCUGAUGGUGUGUGGGUAGAAAAGAGAGAAGAAAUACAUGGGGAAAUAAAUGCUUUCUUCAAGGAACUGUAUCGAAAGGAUGAGGGAGUGGUGCCAAAGGAUCUGAUCGAUCUGAUGCCAGAAAGAGUGGAUGAACAUAUGAACAAUACCCUCAUAAAACAGGUCACGGAAGAAGAGGUGAGUGACGCUCUAUUCCAGAUCGGUCCACUCAAGGCACCGGGGCCGGACGGCUUUCCGGCGAGGUUUUUUCAAAGGAAUUGGGGUGUGAUGAAAGAACAGGUGACCAAGGCUGUGAUAAUGUUCUUUGAGGACGGCAUCAUGCCCGAAGGAAUAAAUGAGACUGUCAUAGUCUUAAUCCCCAAAGGUAACAACCCACAGAGCAUAAAGGACUAUCAACCCAUAAGCCUUUGCAAUGUCAUAUAUAAGGUCAUUUCGAAGAUCAUGGUGAAUCGGCUUAGGCCUUUCCUGGAUGAAAUUAUUUCAGAAUCUCAAAGUGCCUUUAUACCAAGAAGAUUGAUCACGGAUAAUGCAAUCAUUGCCUUUGAGUGUUUCCACAAGAUUCAGCAUAGCAGAAAUCCAAGAGACACAUACUGUGCUUACAAAUUGGACUUGGCAAAGGCAUACGAUCGUGUCGAUUGGGGAUUCUUGGAAGGCACCCUUCAGAAGCUAGGUUUCCAUCAAAAGUGGAUCUCAUGGGUUAUGACUUGCGUAAAGACAGUUAGAUUUUCCGUGAAAUGCAAUGGAGAACUUCUCAAGGCUUUCUCCCCAUCUAGAGGAUUAAGGCAAAGGGAUCCGCUUAGUCCUUACCUUUUCCUCUUUGUGGCAGAUGCACUAGCUUGUGCACUGAAUAAAGAGAUUGCAGAAGGUGGCAUCUCAGCGCUGAAGAUUGCCCGGGGGAGCUCGGGCAUUGCGAAUCUGCUAUUCGCGGAUGAUAGCCUCCUAUUUUUCAAAGCCUCAUCGGACCAAGCAGUAAAGAUCAAAGAGACCCUCAACUUAUUCCAGAAAAGUUCGGGACAAUUGCUUAGCCAGAACAAAUGUUCGCUCUUAUUCAGUGAGUGCUGUCCUACACAAACUAGAGAGGAAAUUGAAGGAAUUCUAGGUGUGGAGUCAACAACUUUUGAAAGCUAGUAUCUAGGAUUGCCUACACCUGAAGGGAGAAUGAAGAAUGAGCAUUCUCAGCCCAUCAUGGACAGAUUCGGUAAAAGGUGCAAUGACUGGAACGAAAGAUUCAUGUCACAGGCAGCAAAAGAGGUGCAUGUCAAGUCGGUGGUUCAGGCCUUGCCAACUCAUGUCAUGGGAGUAUUCAAGCUGCACUAAAGUUUCUGUGACAAGUAUGAGAAGAUUAUCAGAGACUUCUGGUGGAGUGACAAAGAUGACCGCCGGAAAGUACAUUGGAUGUCAUGGGAGAACAUGACAAAACCAAACAGGGAUGGGGGCAUUGGAUUUAGGGAUAUGCACCUAUUUAAUCAAUCCUUGUUGGCAAGGCAAGCGUGGCGGUUGAUUCAGAACCCAAAUAGCCUUUGCGCAAGGGUUCUUAAGUCAAAAUACUACCCUCAUGGUAAUCUCCUAGACACGGUUUUUUCCUCGGAUGCUUCACCCGUGUGGAGAGGAAUCGAGUUUGGCUUGGAACUCUUAAAGAAAGGGUUGGUUUGGAGAGUGGGAAAUGGAAAAAAACAUUCAGAUUCAAAGGGACCCAUGGAUCCCGAGAAAGAAUGGACUACAUGCUGCAAAGUUCACUCGGAGUUCAAGGCUUAGAUGGGUGAACCAACUUAUGAUGCAGGGUACAAAAGAGUGGAAUACGGCGCUAAUCAAACAGAUUUUUCACUCCUUCGACGCCGAAGAGAUAUGCAAAAUUAAAAUCCCGGAGUGUGAUGCAUAGGACUGUGUGGCGUGGCAUUAUGAAAAGUCAGGAGCUUUCACUGUUAGGAGUGCUUAUAAACUCGCAGAUUCUUUGAAAAGGAACUCCAAAGAUGCAGCAUCGAGUUCUUCCAAUGAAGUGGGAGACCGAAGCAUAUGGGAUUUGAUCUGGAAAGCAAGCAUCCCUGAGAAAAUAAAGAUUUUCGGAUGGCGGGUCGCUACCAACUCCUUAGCAACAAAACACAAUGUCUUCAGGCGUACUAUUGAUGUGAGAUCUGUGGAAAUGGGAGGGAGGAUGAGCACCACGCGGUGAUUGCCUGCACAAGGAGCAGGGCACUCAGACAGGCGCUGAGAGAAACAUGGGGUCUGCCGAAGGAAGAGAGCUUUAGUUACACGGGAGAGGACUGGUUACAGCUGCUGCUUGGAUCACAACCUGAGAACACCAGGAACAGAAUCAUGUUGCUACUCUGGCAAGCAUGGCAUCUCAGGAAUAAUGUGGUACAUGGUGAUGGAAGAGAUACUGUCCUGGGAUCAACUCGUUUCCUGCUGAGGUACGAGGAGGAGCUAGAAGAAGCUAUGCAAAUGCAGGGCUCGAGACUGAACAAGGGGAACAGGAUGACACUUGAUGUUGAGCAAGACAGCAACACACAACCAGAUGCAAAGCAGUGGAAUGCGCCGGAUACAGGGGUAGUCAAGAUUAAUACUGAUGCGUCCUUUCUCAUGGGAUCUGGGGAAAGCUGGGCAGGUGCUGUUGCUAGAGACUGGCACGGAUCGGUUAUCAUAUCUGUCGGACGCCAUAUCGGCAGCUGCUCUAGCGUGGAGGAAGCUGAGGCUGCGGCUGCGCUGAUAGGACUGACGGAAUCAAGGAAAAUAUACAGGGGGCAUACUGCGCUGGAAUUGGACUGCGCUGACCUGGUGAAAAACCUGUCCAUGCAAAACCAAAACCGGUCGAAGUGUUUUCCCUGGAUAGCGGACAUUAAGGCUUGCCUGAACGAUUUCUUGGAUCACACCAUAAUACAUACGGGAAGGAAGCAGAAUACGCUAGCUCAUGAACUGGCAGCUGAAGCGAGAAGGGCAGAGGAUUUUCUGCUGUUUGCAAAGGUUCCCAGUAGACUGCACCAGAUCAUGGUGUCAGAAUGUAACCUAACCACUGAGUAAUUCACUCGUGGUCCUAAAAAAAAAGAUAGAUCACAUACGCCCUGGCACGAAAUAAUUAACUUACAAAUCGAGCCACACACGCCCCAGGAAAGAGAUCACUAACCUGUUAAGUGUUAUAGGCGUGUAUAUAUAUAGUCCAGGACCAUAAUAUACUAGUAUAUUUUUAGCACAAUUAACAUUGUUAGUAUCUAAAAAUAUAACUCUACCCUAUUAGCAACGCCAUUAGUUCAGACCAUAAUGGUCCCGUGUUCAAACUCCCUGUACCAAAAAAAAUCCCGUUAACUUAUAUUUCCAUUUUUUGAUAGAAUGUAAUGACAUCAUCUCACAAAUGCAUGGAUUCAAGGAUUUUUGCUUGGUCACUAUCUAUUUACAUUAGAUGGAAAAAAAUCCCUAGCCAUUACCUAUCUAUAUUAAUGGCACAAAAUACUUACAGUGCUCAGUAGACUUUGAAAACACUAUGGCCCUACUGCCAACACUAGUAUGCGGGGUCCUACCGCUCAGUAACCCGGGAAACAGGUAUGGCAGGUCCCAUCGGUGGAAAUCACAUAAAAAAAGUAAUCAUCACACAUUUGUAAUAUUCGGCUACUCUAGUACGCUCGUCAUGGAAAUUACCAAACUGUCAAAGAAACUGGUAACCAGGUGCGCUCAAAGGCUAAAGCGAUUAUGUGACGUCUAUCGUCAUCGAUUUGUGGUAAUCAGUGACGCCACUUAUGUAAACAUCACACAUUAUGUAUUCCUGUGACGUUGUCCAACUUCGACACGAGGAUUUUCGUCACAGUAUCUCAGUUUUUUUAUAGUGAUACAUAGACAAAACAGAGUGUCCCUAAUAUGCCUCUAUUUGACUAACUCGUUAAUCAAAAAUGGUUAAGAUUCCUAACCAUAGACAUGUGUUGUCAUUUGAUGAACGGGAUCACAUCAUUAGAGAUUAUGAUCGUUUAGCUUAGCUUAACAUUAUGAUCGUUUAGUUUUAUUGCUUUUGCUUUUUUCAUGACUUAUACAUAUUCCUCUGACUAUGAGAUUAUGUAACUCCCGAAUGCCAGAGGAACACCUUGUGUGCUAUCAAACGUCACAACGUAACUGGGUUAUUAUAAAGAUGCUCUACAGGUGUCUCCGAAGGUGUUUGUUGGGUUGGCAUAGAUCAAGAUUAGGAUUUGUCACUCCGCGUAUCGGAGAGGUAUCUCUGGGCCCUCUCGGUAAUGCACAUCACAAUAAGCCUUGCAAGCAAUGUGACUAAUGAGUUAGUUACGGGAUGAUACAUUAUGAAACGAGUAAAGAGACUUGCCGGUAACGAGAUUGAACUAGGUAUGAUGAUACCGACGAUCGAAUCUCGGGCAAGUAACAUACCGAUGACAAAGGGAACAACGUAUGUGGUUAUGCAUUUUGACCGAUAAAGAUCUUCGUAGAAUAUGUAGUAGCCAAUAUGAGCAUCCAGAUUCCGCUAUUGGUUAUUGACCGGAGAUAUGUCUCGGUCAUGUCUACAUAGUUCUCGAACCCGUAGGGUCCGCACGCUUAAAUGUGUAAUAAAUUUUAAAGACGUUGUAAAUAUUUUUAAAUAUGUUAUGAACAUUAUUAAUAGGUGACAAACAUUUUUGAAUACACAAUGAACAUUAAUGCAAAUAAACUAUAAUUCUUUUUAACAUACAUGGCAAAGAUUUUAUAAAUACAGGUCGAACACUUUUUAAUAUGCUAUGAACAUUUUUAAAUGCGCCAUGAAUUGUUUUUUCAAAAAAUUGAAACAGUUUUUAAUACACGAUGAAACUUAUUGAAAUAGGCAAACAUUUUAUAGAAAUGUGUGAAACAUUUUAGAAAUAAAUGGGUUCAAAAAAAUGUACACAUUUUUAAAGCACGAAAAUUUAUUUUUAAAAGUCCUCAUGUAUAUCUAAUAUAUAUUCGCAAUUAAAAAAUGGAUGAUUUUUUUGUACAUUAAUGUUUUAAAAACAAUCUCAUGAACUAUUUUUAAAAAUGAUAUAAACAUAUUUUUUGAAUGGUACAAACAUUUUAUAAAUGUCAUGAACAAUUUUUAAUAUGUGAUCAAAAGCUUGUUAACUACACUAUAUACAUUAUUUUAAAUGCAUGAUGAAAAUAAACUAUAAUUCUUUUUCACAUACAUGAGAAAAUUUUAAAUACAGGUCUAAUACUUUUUAAUAUGCUAUGAAAAUUUUUAAGUUCGCCAUGAUUUUUUUUUCAAAAAAUUGAAACAAUUUUCAAUGCAUGAUGAAAUUUAUUGAAAUAGGCAAAUAUUUUAUAGAAAUGUAUGAAACGGUUUAGAAAUAAAUAGGUUUUUAAAAAGUGUUGACACAUUUUUAAAGCAUGUAAAGUUUUUUUUAAGUCCUCGUGUAUAACUUAUAUAUAUUUGCAAUAAAAAGUUGCAUGGAUUUUUUGUAUAUUUCAUUAACGGUUUCGAAAACUGUCAUGAAUAUUCUUUAAAUGCCAUAAACAUAAUAUUUUGAAUGGUACAAACAUUUUAUAAAUGUCAUGAGCAAUUUUGAAUACGUGAUGAAAAGCUUGUUAACUACACUAUAUACCUUUUUAAAUCCAUUAUAAUUCUUUUAAUACUUGGUAAAUAUUUUUAAAUAUCUUAUAAACAUUUAUUUGUAGAGGACAAACAUAUUUCAAUGCACAAUGAACAGUUUUCAACUACAGUAUAAUUCGUUUUUUAUAUAUGCGAUGAAAACUUGAUAAAUACAGUUCAAACACUUUUUAAAUAUGCUAUGAACAUUUUUAAAUGCGCCAUGAACAUUAAAAAAAUUGAAAUAAUUUUUAUACACGAUGAAUUUUUUAAAAUAGGAAAACAUUUUAUAAUAAUGUGUGAAACACUUUAAGAAUACAUGGGUUUUCAAAAAUGUAGACACAUUGUUAGAGCACAUAAAGUUUUUGAAAUAAUAGAGAGGGAAACGUAACAACAAAGUGAUAUAGGAAGAAAACCAUAUCCUGAACGCCCGGCCUACGGAGCUGGCCCGUGCUGGUGCUCUGUGGGCGAGCACUUCCUUCUUCAGCUCGCAACAGGCGUGAAAUAGCAGCGCCCUGUAUCGACUUCCAGUGCGUUUAAGAUUAAUGUGGUUGGUAUGUCGACUGUUUUUAAUCGAAAGUGAUUGAUUGUCUUGAUCGAUGGUUACAGAGAGUAUAUAUAUCCCCUGGAGAGACGCGACGAUACCGAAAAGAUGCAUCGGUUCCAGGAGGACGGGAGAGAUGCGACGGUUGCGACGGACACAGGCGUCCUUGGCGGGCGCAACCGCUCGUUCGAUGGGCAAGGGGAGAUUUCCGUUAAUUACAGAUUAUAGUUUAAUCUUAACAUCCACGACACAUGCAUCGUACUUGGUUUACAGAGAGAGUACACAACACCUCUCUAAAAGAGAAAACAAACACAACAUUACACUGGCCGGCGGCUGAAAAAGAAAAAAAACUGCACGUACAUCGCCACUGUUUGUACAUUCAGCACGGUGCAUGCUUGAAGCUCAAAAAAAAAAAAAAACACG
rnacentral:lncRNA from 1 species